GAGAGAGAGAGAGAAAGGUAGUUCAUACACAAAACCAAAUAUUCCGAGGAAUUGAUCUCUGUGAUUAAGGAUAAGACCAAAUUGCCAACAUAUGCUGCAUAUAAUAUUCUUAUCAGUGCAGAGGACCAUCUAAUAUUCUGACAUUAAUUGAAAGGAAUCACAACCACAAUCUUCUAUUUACACAUUCUUCAUACAAACCAUGUCGUCACCGUCACCAUUUUCUAGCCACAAGGGGAUCCAAAAGAUCUACUUUGAUCGCCUAUGUGAUAUGGAAAGAUCUCUCCUGCUGCUUUAAAUAUUAUUAGUUUCUUAGCUUCUCGGAUUACCACUAACCAUAAUCAGUAAUUUUAUAUCUUUUACUCAACCGAUAAACAUUUACACUUAGCAAGAGUUGAUUUGAUGAUUCGAUGGAGGUUGUGCAACGGGUUUAGUUUUACAUCCACUAAGAUUUAGAAAGAUGUAUAAAGGUUUGUUUAGUGUAUUAUCCUCUAUUUUAGUCUUAGUAUUAUGUAUCAGUAGCUUAGCUCAAUGAAUCGACUUAAUUAUAUCAAAUUAGAUUGUGAUAAUUAGUGUUAGAUUCGACUUAAUAUUGAGACAUAAUAGGGAUUGAGUAGGAAAGGAUUACUUAUGGACCGAGCUAUAUGAUAGGCACAUCAUGAAGUUACAUUAAGAUCUAAUUCUAAACUAUUUUAAGCUUGAUGACACUAACUCAGAUAUUAUAUUAAGAUCUAAUUCUAGACUAUAUUAAGCUUUCAAGAGAGCCCAAGCCAUUAGGUGAGGAAGAUUAUAAAACUUUAAUUUAGUCUUAUAGUUAAGAUUUAUAGUUAAGAUUUAGAACAAUUUAUAAUGGUUUGAUGUAUUUAUGUAACUUUAGUUAAGCAUUUUAGACUAAUUAUUCAAAUUUAAUGAGAUUAAUAGACCAAUUAUCCUAUGAAAGAAAGUUGUAAAAGGUUGAUAAUUUCAAAUCUUUUCUAAUAAAUCAGAUGACAUCGACAGUUGAUAUAUAUAUAUAUAUAUAUAUAUAUAAGAUAUAAUGACUGGUUGUUAUGUGAUGAGAGAGAUAAAUGAGGAACAUGAAGAAAUAAUGGAGACAUUGGUACCAUCUCGAUAAUGGAAGCGUGUCCCUAUUAUGAAACGACGACAGCCAUUAACAGACACCAAAGGAGAAUUAUUGUGGUUUUGGCAGAGUGCGUCUAAAGCUGAUUGAUAGAGAAUUGUGUGAAUGAGACCCACCCCAUGUAAUAAUGGUAGCUGUCCCAAUAAUAGCAUCAAAAGCUGAUCGGAUGAUGAUCAUACUUGGUAGGUAAUCCAGUGAGCCGAGCCAAAUGGGAAGAAGCAAUGCAUCAAAUGCAAAUCUCAAAAUUUACCUAUGAAGAAUAAAUACUAUCUUCAAGGGAAAUAAAAAUAAAAGGAAAAUAGGACAAUGUCAUGAUAGAAGAAGGUCCAUUUCCUAAUUAUAAUUAUAAUUAUAAUUAUUAUUAUUAUUAUUAUUAUUUUUAUAAAAAAAAAGUUAAAUAAGACUAACUGAUUAAUCAUCCACCUGAUCAAAUCAUCAAUGGUUGAACCGAUAGAUCAUUUGUUCAGCCAAGAAGCUAGCUUUGAAAGGUAAAAAUACAAAAGCUAUAACGUGGGGGGAGGCACUCAGGCCCCACUGCUCGCAGCCUAUCCCCGUGAGAAAAUUCAAAGGUUUAUUUUGAGAUCAUACAACAACAUCUGACAUUUAGGAUUAUCAAGGAAAUAAAUGUGAACCAAAAGAAGUGGAAUAAAUAGAACCAUUUAGGAUUUGCUACAAGAUCAGCAUAUUCACAGUAUCAUAAUUAUACAGAGGAUCUUUUUUAUGAGUUGGAGAUAAAACUCUCUGUAACAGCUUCCGUAACAUCGCCGCGGCACAGAGGGCAUACACUGUAAGCACCAGUAGCAGAGAAAGAGAAAAUCAAGUUCGAGGAGCCAUGUUAAAACACUUUUUAUAUAUAUAUAUAUAAAGAACAGAGGGCUACAGAGAAUAUUAAGUAAAAUACCCAUGAAUUUCUUUGAGCCAUUUAUCGACACAGGCCAUGUGAUAUUCAUGGUGGCAGGGAAGUAUUCGCACGGCGUCUCCAUCCUCGUAAUCAGCCAGGCAGAUGUAACAUCUGUAAAACAACAGUAUGUACAGAAUCAGGGAGUGAGCAUAUAAGUGUGAAAGAAACUACAUAGAAACCCCUUUCGCAUUUCAUCAGCAGCAUGUUUCAGUGCAUAAUUAGUUGAAGUGAGAAAUCUGUUCGAUGACAAAUUGAAAAUUAGAGGAUAGAUCAACCAGCCAUGUAAAAAUUGCAGAUGAACAUCCUAAACAUGUUUGACAUUGUGAAUUAGCAAUCUUUUGUAACAGCUCAAAGUUUCUCUCGUACUAAAUAGCUACAGUGAAAGAGAGAUCACCUAUUGCUCUUGCCUGCAUGGCAGUCGAACAUACAUAGCAAUCUCAAAUUUAAUAAACAUGUAGUGAUCAAAGGUAAAUACCAACAUUAUAUUCAUGUGAUAGAUAAAAUUUCAUAAUUCCCCACAAGAAGCAAGAGACAGGAUCAUCUGUGUUGACGGAAUGCAAGCCCAAAUAUAUUGUGGAUCUGAUCGUCGAUAGAUCUUGGAGAUACUGGAACAUGUUUUGAGAACUAGAAUGAAAACUAUAAUAUUAGUCCUAAUUUAGUUUCACAGACUGCAUCUCGUGCAUAAUCAGCACAGGGAUCUGAAAAUAGUAGCAUAGAGCAUCGUACACAUUUAAUGCUAAAUAUGGUAGUGUAAUGGUUCUAAUUUUCCAGGGACAACAAUAUGAACAGAUGAAAAUGCUUACUGUUCCACAUCAUUUUUGCUCAAAGCAGUGUCGAGUUUUUUGUGAAUCUUUGAUGGCAAGGAGUUGACAACUGAUUCCAGUGCUGGGACUGAGACCACAGAAAGUGACAGUGAUCCAGGCUGGUGAUGAAUUUCAUCCAAAACCUGCAGAGUAAUCAUGUCAAUGUAAGGUAUAAAGCCGAUAAAAGAGCAUGAACUGUAAUACUCAGCAAUAAGUUUCUCCAUUGCAUUUAGAUAUUUCUUGGCAUCAUCACCUACAUACUAUAAAGAACUUUAGCACCAGUGAUAAGCUUAGUUUCAUAAGCCGUUCAGUUUCUUCAUCCAUAAAUAUUCUUCAGAGGGCAAUGAAGAUUCAGCAGUACUAAACAAACAAUACAAAAAUAAAUGAAAUCAGAUAUAGUAGUCUAAACUCAAUAAACAUUUCAAGCAAGAAGGCAGCAAGUAAAACUAGGGGCACAUAGUCCGUUCAUCAUACUACAUCGAUUAGGAUGAACAUGUUACAGAAGUAGUACCACGUGCACCAUAACAAUAGAUAAAACUGUCAAUUGCAGGCAGAUUCUUUUUUCUAUAAUAGAAAAGAAGAAAGGGGAUGACUCUGCCCCCUCUCCAAUUUUCUAAAAAUAGGAGACAUACAAACGUCUAAUUCACUUGAAGUGCGAACCUCAAUCUUGAACUACAUCUGCAGUGAUUUCCUUCAAAAAUAAAUAUAGGCAUCUUUGACAUUAAAAAAUAACUUUUAAUAUUGUCCGUCAUGCUUUUUUUUUUUUUUUUUUGAACUGGAGAUGGAAAAUAUCAGCUCCAUUUUAAAUACAAAAGCUUAUAUAGUCAAAAUUUGGUAACAUCUCUCAACCAUGGCUAAAAUCCAAAUUAAUGUUGAAGCCUAUAUCGGAGUACAAGCUUGAAAGUGAAGUUAAUGGAAUAAAUACAUGAGUGAUCAUGAGCAUUCAAACUUCAAGAAGUUUAGAGAAUGUGCUUAACAAAAAGCUAACCACUUGAAUAUAUAGGAGGAGAGCUGAAACAAAAAUACCCACCUCAAAUAAAGCUUCAGCUAACACAAAAAUUCGUGCAAUACUGGCUCGGGUGCUCGACACUUCAGUCAUUAACAAUGUGCAAGAGCAUGUGCCAUCUUGGUGGAGACCUGAUGGACAGGAAGAUGCUUGUCCAUCAUUAUUAUUAGAUCCAGAAUGAAGACGCUCCCUUAUCUGCACUGAGGAAAUUUUUAAGUCCAAAUAACUUAAGAUAUGUACUUGAUUGAAAACUUCAGAUGCAUGCAUUAAUGAUAAGGAAAGAGUUGAAGCUUUGUACCUAGAACCAUAGUAUCUAAAAUUAUUGCCAAACAAAUAAAAAGGCCAAACAAAUAAAAAGGCAAAUAUUGAACAACUACAAGAAAAGAUAUUCUGCAAAUAAAAGAAACAACAUCAACAAAAGUAUUAAAUCACAUCAUUAAUUCCAUAAUGUCAUCAAAGUUGGUGACCCAUGAAGUCAUUGAAAAAAGAACCUUGAUAAUGUCGAGAAGCAUGCUGUUAAGUGUAAAGGAUAGAAACUUACCUUAAGCAAAGGAAACUAACAUGUGACAACUUGAAAUAGAACUUAAUAAAAGAUCACCUCAGAUCUCGUAUGCCAACUGACUCCAUUUAGUCCAUGGUGUCUCUGCCGUAAGUAUAAUGAAUCAUCUUCAACCCCAUCUCUAAAAGCAUGACCAUCAAUGUCUAGUAGCCACCUGUCCUGAUAUCCUAGACCAUUAUUCUCUGAAAUUGAAGAUAGUGUUGUCGAGUCAACAGUCAUGGAACUGUGUCUAGAAAAGGCAUCCCAGAAAUGUCUUCUAGUAUUCCUCCGUGACUCGCUACUAAUUUCCUCCCCAGAGCCACUGGGAACAUCAGAAGAGACACUGACCAAAUCAACAUGAAGUAGACUUCCAUUUCUCUGCUCACCUGAUCCAGUUGAUGUUUGGGCAUCUGAACCAGAAGAGGUUGCACCUAGAUGAUCUUCACUUGAAAAAUGCAAAGUUGAGGAUAACCUUGGAAUAACAGAAACGUAAUCCGUAUAGGUACCGUGGUUUCCCACAACAUCAUCUGAGGGGUUAACAAUCUCAUUUGCAUGUAAAUCUCCAAGCUCAGGUUGAUGUAUGCUACGUGAGAAACUUGGCGAGCUAUGGGAACUAUCAUUUGCACAAUUAGCAACCUCUGAUACCGUUGCUAAAGCGGCAUCAACAUUAUCAACUGGUUUCCUUGAGGUACUUGGUAGACCAGAAGUCCUCUCAGGUUGGAACAUCUCCAGGCAAGAGGUUUCCGAGCCAUCCCAAUUGAUGCCAUUAUUGCUUUGAUUAUUUCUCAUGUUUUCAUUGGUGGAGCUAGAAGGCCUAUGGUCUUGUGAAAAGUUUAAUGAAGACUCCUUGACUGAGAUCUGGAUAUUAGAAUUUAAUACAGAACCAUCCAGUCUUGCUUGACUGACUGAUUUCUCCGUUGGCAUAUCUUCAAUCUGCUAAGAAGAAUGCCAUCAAGAAAACCUUUAUAGCCUGUUAACAUCAACCUAUUUAAAGCAUAGGCUAGAGAUGUAGAAAACAUACGAGUAAUGCCCUUAUGAAUGGAUAUAAGUUUUGAAUAACCACAAAAAGCAAAACAAUAGAGACACGAAAAGAUAUUACAACAGACACAAAAAUGCACCAACGGCAUUCAUUGUCAAAUAUACUGGAUAGGAAAUGUAUGCUCAAAUGAUGUCAAUACUCUUAAAAGUAACAGUAAGGUUUUCUGGAAUGAGAAAUAAUUUCUUUUCUUAUGGCUUCCACCACAUUUUGGUGAAAGUGCAGAACUUCUUUUACUAAAAAAACAAUCCAAUUUGUUGUUUGGCAAGUUAAAGAUAUCAUAAUUUUGACUUUGAAUGGAAACUCUCAUGUGAUUCAAUGUCAUGUUUAGGAGUCAAGGAACCAAGAAUCUUGUCUUCAGAUAGAUCUUCUAGAAGUUAAAAGACUGUUGUCUCUCAGAAAAUUAAAAAAAAAAGGGUGUAACCAGUGCACGAGGCUCCCGCCAAUGUGGGGCCUCAGAAAAUCAACAAACUUAAAUUUAACUAAAAAUGUUUACCUCAUCCAAAUUUACCACUUACAUAAUUACCACCCUGACCAUUUGGAAUCACAAAUUUUGUACCUUGGAGGAUAACAUAAUAUGCCUCCUUGGUCCAAUAUAGAGAAUUACACGAGCAGGGUGCUUCUUUCUAUAAGAAAAUGCCCAACCUCAAAAGUCUUGUUAUUAUCUCUAAGCAGAAGCACAAAGCAUUUUUGAGCACAUAUCAACUUGUCUAUCCAAUAUUCGAAGGGUGCUCAUUCUCAUCAUGAGUCACCAUGUUUGUGUAACCACCUUAGGUCACCAUCCCAUCCAUCCUCUUAGAAGUCAUUAACCAUGAGGAUUUCCAGAUUACUAGAAUAUGCUGACUCAGCAAACCGAGCAAAAAAAGAUUAGAGCUUAAUAAGAGACAAGGACUGCAGACCAAUAAGACUCCUUGAAAGAUAUCACAACACCAAUCAUUUCAGGCCUCAAUGAAUCAGAGAUCCACUUUCCCGGAGAUAAUCCUAAUCUUUCAUAUCUAAAAAACUUGCAUUAUUACACUAUCAACAUCGUAUCAUUAUGCUAAUCGAACGAGACAAAAAAGCAUAAAUAAAUAAACACAUAAAUACAUACAUACAUACAUACAUACAUACAUAUAAUAACCAUCGUGGAAAAAAAAACGACAACAAAACGAAUACCUAAGCAACCAUCUCCCCAACCAAGAAACCAAGAAAUGCAGUACGGCUAAUAGCUAUCGAGACAAGCAAUCAACCCCAAAGAACUAAAUCGUGAUCGUUGAAUUAGGACCUGAGAGGAGCCGGAGGAGGAGGUGGAGGCGGCAGAGACGGCCGCGGCUCCGCCGCAGAGGAAGGCGGCGAGCCCGAGCCUCGGCCGGCGUCGCGGCCGGUGGCGCGGCAACCGCGGGGCCAUGCGACUGCUUCCUGAACCCAUCGCUUGAUUCAGAGCGAAAGGAGGAGGCCGAGGAGAAGCGGAGGGAAGGAAGAAGAAGGCCAGCUGUGGACGCGGCCUUCAAAUAGUUUCGCCCCCUUCUUAUUGUCCACAAACAAAAAAGAGAGAAAUGGAAAUAAAUAAUAAUAACAACAACAUAUAUUUGUUCAAAAAAAAAAGGAGCUAAUUUGGGGAUUAAAUUACCCUCCAAUAAGAGGUGACAUCACCCCUGAUCCUUUUCGAGGAUAAUUCAACCCAUGCACGUUUAUACAAUAAUGAUUUGAACUCUCAUAAUUGCUAUAUUAUAUUUUAUUAUAUUUAAGUUUAAUUUAGUACAUUUAAGUUUAAUAUAGUCAUUAUAAAUUUUUUUUCCUAAAAUAAUGUAAUUUGUGUUUUUGCCCAAAAAUAUAUUCAAAGAACUUCCUUAUGGCUAUUAAUCACCUUAUAAAAAUUAAGAAAAUUAAAUUUGAUUUAGUCAAGUUUAGAUCAAUUUUUAUGAAUAAAAACUUAAUUCACAAUUUAAAUUUACUCAAUUUUCUCGAAAUGAGACAAGGGAAAAAAGGUGGCAAUAAAUUCAAACGGGAUAUAAUUUCAGAAGAUUAAAAAAAGUAGAGGCUGAUAAUUAGUCCAUACAAAAAAAAAGAAAAUCAUACUUAUAUACAAAUAUAUUAAACAUAUAGAAUAUGAUAUCUUUUCAUGAUAAUUAUGAUGAAAAUAGGAAAAGAAAAUGAUGAUAAUAAAUAAUGUAAGAUGAUAAAAGAAUAAUUGGGAUGAAUUUUAAAAAAAUUAUAUUUGAGAUUUUUUUUACAACAUCUCAACUUUUAAAAAUUCUCACCAAACAUUUUCUUACAGAGUAAAAAUAUAAUUUUACCCCUAACUCUCAUCGUAUCUACCUCCACCUCUAUCCUUGCGCAUCCUUGUUUUGUUCUCACACGAAAAAGAAGGGGACUGAGAGGUAGAGGUGAUGAGAACACUUGUCUUCUUCUCUGUAAUCCUCGUACAAGGAAUGAGGUAUGAUCAAGAAAAUCAAUAAUUUUUUUAAAAAAUAUAUCUAAAAAUAAACUAGAACAAUAAUUAUAAUAAAAAAAUUUAACUAUGGUAAAUAGUUUGUUGCCACCUGUGUAAACAAUGAUAAUCUCCUCAUAUCCUAAUCUUAAUUUACGCAUAAAAUUCUUUCUCUCAAUCAUUUAGCCUCUCCAAGUCACACAUCUCACCUAUUAUGUAGUCAUAAAUUUGAGUUAAUAUGACUCCUGAUUUAACAUCUACAAACAUGGAGUUGAUCGGAAAGAUUCAAGGCAAAGUAAAAGCCACCAGAGCUGUGACUGCUAGGUUUGACCUUCAGAUACCAACCCAGUACAAAAGCUCAUCGGCAGAGCUAUGACUCUGGGGAGAAGAAGAUGCAUCCUCCCCAGCCUUCACCACACGGCGGUCCUCCCCCCACUGGGGGUCCUCCACCUCCGGAGCCAGGCGGGCCUCCGCCUCAUCCACCACACGCACCGCCGCCGCCGCCCGGCCCUCCGGCUCCUCCUCGUGGUCCACCGCACCCUUGAACAGUCACCUACAUCACGUGAUGCCACGUCGAUGCACGUAGUCUGCCAUGCAUGAAUGGAGUAGGUUGAUAUAUACAUAAAUAAGUGCACUGCGGACUUGCUUAUGAAAUAAAUAUAUUGUAUAUGUUUAUUAUGUAAUUAGUGUCUUCAUUACAAUCUUGGUUUUAUAUGAUGGAAUGAGUUGAUGUGAUUUAAGAUGUCUUGGAUGAAUUAAAAUGUUUGUGUCUAUAAAAAACCUACACAGAAUAAUUUUUGAAGGAAUAAUCUUUUCUUUUUAUCAAAUAAUAAUUAAAUAUUAAUCACAAUUAGAAGAGAUUAAUCUGAGUUUUCUUUGUCGGGAUUAAUAUUAAUCGAGGAAUAUUCGUGGAAGUAUUUGAAUUUUGAACGAGUUCGGUUCGGCACUUCAGACCGCGAGGGUUACGGCCGCUCUCCUAGCUGAGAUGCUCCCCUUCGUCCGUCGUCAUGGUCUUCCCGGAUUCUUCCAUUGCCGCUGCCUCGUAGACCUUCUCUUCUCCUCCUACUGCUCCCAUCCCCCAACCCUCAUCCCUUGGUCGAGUACCUCGUGAACUGUGCUCUGCCGCCGAGGCAUCCAAGGCCAACGAGGCGGUUGCGCGCCUCACAUCCACGGAGAAGUUUGACGUCGUCCUUGGUUUCCUGACAUCCCAUGGCUUCGAUGACUCUUACCUCAGAAAGAUUGUAUCUUUUCACCCCCAAAUCCUCUGCUGCGACGUGAAGAAGAAUCUGGCCCAAAGUUCCGGUCCUCAGCGAUAUGGGCUCUUCGGACUCCGAACUUAUCCAGAUCGUCAUGACUCACCCCUGCCGCAUGGUCAAGCUAAGCAUCGGUUCACUCCUUUCCAUAUUGGAGAUGUGGGGAAAACUCAUUGGAUGAAGGAAGCUCCUCCUCAAGCAAAUGAAGACGAAAGCAUUGUUUCUGAGCUGCGGCAUCGAGAAGAUGUUACUUCCUAAUCCGUCGUUCACAAGGGAGGAGUGCGGCAUCACCGACGAUAGGACAUCGCUCAUUGUGAAAAGGCGCCCACUUUUCGUCCUCCAACCUCGGGAAUCACCCCGGAGUGCCCCGACAGUCUAGGAUGUUCCUGUGGACCCUUGUCGUUCUCCACAAAAAAGAAAUCGGAGGCUGUAAUCAGGCUCAUGACAAGCGUCGGAUAGUCGGAGUCGGAGUUCUCGUAUGCAUUCAGAAGGGUGCCGACCAUGUGGUGUUUAUCCAAAAACGAGUUGCAGAGAAAGAUGGAAUUUUUGGUCAAGAAAGUUGAAUAUACAGCAUCCCGCAUUGCCCGCCAUCCAAUACUGCUAUUUAGUUUGAAGAACAGGAUGAUACCUCGGUAUCGUGUGAUGGAAAAUUGCAAGUCUAAAGGAUUUCAUAGGGGGGCACUGCAAGCACUAUACCAUCUUUAGUUUAUUGGAAAAUGUAUUUAUGCAGAAGAUUGUUCUCAUCGACAAAGAAAAAGGACCUGAGCUGCUUGACAUCUAUGUGAGUACCUGAGAUGAUCCCACCACAUUGGUAUUCUGAAGAUAUAAUGGAUGGGGUUCAUUUGAAGUCCUUUUCAGGUAUGAGAUAUUUCUUAUCUUUAACAGCUAGAUAAGCAGUGAUUCUGAACAUUCUAAUUGGUUGCUCCGAAGUUUAUCGCUUAUAUGUAGACAUAUAAGUAUACAUAUAAGUAGAAGAGAGAUUGCUUCCCUAAUCCAAUCCAUGCUCCUUAUUAGGGGGUCUGAUCAACUGUUUGUGAUGUUAAUUAAUUGAUCAUCUUUCUUGCAUGAACGUUUUUUAGACCAUUGAUUUGUUAUCAUUAUGAUAAAUGCUAAAGAAUUGUCCAAAUCAUAUGAAUUUUGAUAUCUACAUAUUUGGAUAUAAUAAUCAUGCACACCAGAGUGGAUCUUGGGUUAGAGUAUAAAUGAUUGAUUCUGAAAUGAUAGGAAGUUGAAUGACCUUUGAGUGAUAAAAUUAUAUUUGACUAAUCUGAAUUAUUAAAGCCACACUUCUCAGUUUCUGAAAUACACUGUCAUCGAACUCGAUCAUACUCACUAACAUGAAGAAGCAAAUAAUUCAAAUCAAAGCUAACCAUGAAAAGCGUCAAAUCGAUAUGUAAAAUAUUUAUUUUUGUUGUUGUUGUUAACUUUAGCUCUUAUUGUCGUCCUAGUUUCUUAGACUAUUUGCAUCACUAGUAUUGAAGUCAUGGUAUUUGUGCAUUACUUUAGAAAGUUAAUUCUAUGAGAAUUACAAAUCACAAGGCUAACCUUUUUAGCACUGAAGUGACAAUUAUCAUUGUGCUCAGUAAUUGACAUGAAAUUAUCUUUAAUAUCACUGUUCAGAUAAGUAUUCCCUAAUUAUCUUAUCAAUGUAUGACUUGUCAUGUGGAAUUUGGAUCCAAUUCUAAUGGUGGCACAAUAGGAACUCAUUCUUGCAACUGAAGUUCCUUGUUUUGUGCAUGAGUAGAAUUUCCAGGGAAAUUUUCCUUUGGUUUCAAACUCAGAGGCUUUGUUUUAUAAUUUUUUGAACCCCCUAAGGACUAGAUUAUUAAAUUUGCUUUCUAAGCUUAAUUACAUGAAGUUCUUCCUCUUGUCCAGGGUUAUGAAAUCGCUGCAGUCUUACAUCAAUCAAUUGUUGCUACAACAAUGCUGAAAGAAGCUAAGCGAUGCGAGUUGCAACGACACUUAGAGAGAGGAAAGAUUUGUACAUUCUUCAAUUGUUGCCCCAGAUUUUGCACAAAGAUAAUUUCAUCCUCAUCCAAUUACUAGGUGUGGAGAUGGCCGGACUUGUUCAAUUUGUAAUAGGUACUUCCGAAGCUAAAGGCCGAGUAUAUGUCGUGCUGUCUGCAAAUUCAUCAGGUAUACUAUGAGACUGUGAUGUCCAACUUGACAACAACUGUUUGCUGUCAUGCUUUUGUAGGAUUGUAUGAAUGAUUUUAUUCUGUGAGCUUCUUUUUGGAUUGGAAAAACCUGUCUGAGAUGGAUGCAUAGUCUUUCUCACCAGCAGUACGCCAGUGGUCAUAUAUUGUUUCACCAAAAACACGAACGAGCAUUUGCUGUUCUACUUUGGGUUUUCAUCGACAUCAUCUGAUAGCAAUCCUUGCACAAAACAUGUGAUGAUAGGUUGUUCUACGACACAUGGACGCUCAAUGUUGUGGUCAUCGCCGGUCGUGUUUGAUUUCAACACAAAUUUAUUUAACCUAACUAUACUGUUAUUCAGAAAUAAUAUAUUAAUAUUUUAUGUGGGCAACCUAACAUUAAGGGAUCCGUGGCGCAAUGGUAGCGCGUCUGACUCCAGAUCAGAAGGUUGCGUGUUCGAUUCACGUCGGGUUCAAAUCUCAACAAAAGUCAAUUGAUUUCUCCUUUUUACCAGGACAAUUUGUUUUCAACGUUCAAUCUUUUGGUUUGAUAAAUUUUCUGUUGGCAUGUAAUAUCACUGGAUCCGUGGCGCAAUGGUAGCGCGUCUGACUCCAGAUCAGAAGGUUGCGUGUUCGAUUCACGUCGGGUUCAAAUCCUAACAAUUGUCAAUUGAUUUUUCCCUUUUUCCAGGACAAUUUGUUUUUAACGUUCGAUCAUCGAUUCUAAAAGCGGAAAAGGUUGGAUGAGGUGCUCUUUUGAUUUCAUGAUUGGUAUGUUUGCAUUUAAUAUCACUGGAUCCGUGGCGCAAUGGUAGCGCGUCUGACUCCAGAUCAGAAGGUUGCGUGUUCGAUUCACGUCGGGUUCAAAAAUUAAUCUUUUUUCCUUUUUUCCUCGACAAUUUGUUUUUAGCGUUCGAUCAUCGAGUAAAGGCUCAAUCUUCGUGGCGGAUUGAAUUCAUGAAGAAGACAUAUAAAUGUGUCGUGGAAAAGGUCGGAUGAGGCGCUGUUUUGGUUGUUUGUUUUUAACCUUUCUAUAGUUUCCUUUCUGCUUCGUUCGCGAUGUCAUAGUGAUGCCAUUACUUAUCUAUAGCGUCAAAGACUUUGGUAUUUGGUCAAAUAUGCUAUUGUGUUUUGCUUUCAGAAUUAUGUGUUGCUAUCAGUGGUUAUGCUUUUAUUUUGGUUGUUGGAUUUGGGAUUUGCUUAGUAUAUUUAUGAAGAAGAGGAACACGACGGGUUCGUGUUGGAAUAUCAAUGUUGUUUCUUCUUGGAAUUUGGUUGGUUUCUUGUAGAUUGUUGCUAAAAGAUUCGAGUUUGAUGUUUCUUUGUUUCUGUCGCGCCUUAGUCGGGGCAGAGAGUGAAUCCUUAGGAGGAUGAAAAUAUGUUUGUUCAUCGUUGCUGAAGAUUCGAUUAUGGUGUUCUUUGAUUUGAUCUGCCUGUUGGAAUUAGUUAUGUAAUCAAGGUUCUGCUCUACUCGUCCUUUCUGAACCCUAUUCCUGCUUUUUCUUUCCUAAUGCCUCAAUGAUGUGGUCUAAUUACUUAAUCGAAAUUAGGGUUCUUGGCAUUCGGUGCAAUGUUCUAAUGUCUAGUUUUGGAAGCUUUGUGAUGCCAGUUUUAGGGUUUCCGAAGAAUAUGUGAAGUGUUUAUCUACGUUGGUUUAAUGCAAAAGGUGCGUUGGAAUUUAACAUUGGUUGCAUGCUUGAAUCAGAGUUUUUGUCCUUUAAUGUGAGCGACAAAGACUCAGGUUUUUCCUUGCUUUUCGUUUUCUUCCCCCCUUUCCUUUGCUUGUUGGUGUUAGACGGAUAAUCAAAAUUUUGCUUGAGUUGUACUUUUGAUGUUUUGUUUUGCUUUAUUAGUUGUAUGAUUAAAGUGCUGCUCUACUUGUCCUUUCUGUAGUCCAUUUCUGCUUGUUCUUUCCUGAUGCAACCAUGUGGUCUAAUUCCUGCAUCAAAAUUAGGGUUCUUGGCAUUCGGUGCGAUGUUCAAGUGUCUAGUUUUGUAAGGUUUGUGAUGCCAAAUUUUACUUGUCAUGUGAGAAUGAAGAAUUUCCAAAGUGUCGUCUACAUUUGAUUAAUGCAAAAGGUGCAUUGGAUUUCACUCUUAGUUUGCAUGCUUGAAUCAGAGUUCUGUCCUCAAGUUGACUGGCAAAGAUUUAGGUUGUUUUUGCUUGUUGGCAUUAGUUGUUUAAUCAAAGUUCUCUGAGCUGUACUUACAAUGUUUUUUGGUGUCUCCCGAUGAUGGUGUCUUGUUCAUUAUAAUGUCAAAUUAAGACUUUGGUUUUUUUUGUGAGAUAUGCUAAUUUAUUACCAUAUGGACAUAUACAAUGCUACUUUUUGAUGCUUCUAAAGCUUGUUUCAUCUUAGCUCAGCAUCUUAGAUAAAAAGAUUCCGGUAUGUCUUAACUUGAUGGUUGGGAAGGUGACACUAAAAAUAUGAUAGGGAAGGUGACACUAAAAACAGGAAUAAUCUUUGUAUAUGAACAAAUGCUAGAAGACCAUGAUAUGCAGCGGAAUUAAAUGGAACCGCAAUCAAAUAGAACACCAAGAUAUACAUGGAAAACCCUUUUAAUAUGAAAAGUAAAAACCGCGGGGCAAACUAGAGAUAAUCCACUAUGAGAAUAAUGAAUAUACAAAUCUCAAUCUCUUGCCCUAAACCCUAGCAAUAAUCACAAGAGAAUAACUGGGAUACAAUGAUCAUGUCACUGUCCACGAUAUCCAAAACCUCCCCAAGUAAUCACAGCAAGAGUCUACUAUAGAUUUGAUCUAACCUGAGAUGAGAACACUGCUAGAUGAUUGAGAACAGUCUCUCUGCGUUGUCCUUGUCUUCUUCCCUUUCUUUCUCUUUCUUUUCUAUCUUGUUUUCCUCCUUUUCUUUGGAAUCCCGUGGCUAUAUCCUUCUCCCACGUUGCUGCCCUAUUUAUGCCUUUUUCUGUCUCCAAAACGCAGUCACCACACCCCCCCUAAUGUUAAUUAGGGUUAGGUUAAGAGGGGGUGAGCUAUGGGCUGCCCAAGCCCACUAUGGGCUGAAUUUGUGGGCUGCCAGCCUAACAAUCUCCCCCUUCAGACCAUAAGGGAGGCUGUCCCAUGACUCCUCAAUGUGAAGUCAUGCCGACCAGCUGUCGGCAUAUCUCCUGUCUUUCUUUUGGUAAAGUUUUUAUCAAUAUGUUUGCUUCGUUGUCAUCUGUGUGAAUUUUCUGAAGCUGCAACUGCUUCUCUUCAAAUACAUUUCGAAUCCAGUAGCAUAUGACAUCUAUAUGCUUUGACUUGGAAUGAAACAUUAGGUUCUUAUACAAAUGGAUGACACUCUGGCUGUCACAAUGCACCACAUAAUUUUCAUAUUUCAGCCUUAAUUCUUGUAAGAAUUCUUUCAUUCAUAACAUUUCUUUGCAUACCUCUGUAGCAGCAAUAUAUUCUACUUCUGUGGUGGAGAGAGCAAUACGCCUUUGCAACUUGGAUUGCCAUGACACAGCUCCCCCUGCAAAAGUAAGUACAUAACCUGAAGUAGACUUUCUCGUAUCUAUAUCUCUUGCUAUAUUUGCAUCUGUGUAACCUGUCAACACAUGUGGUCCACCUCCAAAGCUUAAACAAACCUUAGAGCUCCCUCUGAGGUAUCUAAAAAUCCACUUCACUACUACCCAGUGCUCUUUGCCUGGAUUUGCAAGAAAUCUGCUAGUAACACCAACUGCAUAUGCGAUAUCUGGCCUCGUACAUACCAUUGUAUACAUUAAACUUCCAACUGCUGAAGCAUAAGGAACCUUUUGCAUUUUCUCCUUUUCCUCAUCACUUGAUGGACUCUGUUCUGAGCACAACUUGAAGUGACCUGCAAGAGGAGAACCAACUGGUUUUGCAUUGCUCAUACUGAAUCUUUACAAUAUCUUCUCGAUGUAUUUCUCAUGUGACAACCAAAUCUUCUUAUUUUUUCUGUCAUGGGAAAUCUGCAUAUCUAGUAUUUGCUUUGCUGGCCCCAUGUCCUUCAUUGCAAAAGACUCACUCAGUUCCUUUUUCAAUCUGUCAAUUUUAGACAUAUCUUUUCCAAGAAUAAGCAUGUCAUCAACAUAAAGUAAGAGAAUAAUAAAAUCCUCACCAAACAAUUUGAUAUACACACAAUGAUCUGAAGUUGUUCUUUUGUAUCCAUUUUCUAUCAUAAAUGAAUCAAACUUUCUGUACCACUAUCUUGGAGCUUGCUUUAGCCCAUACAAGCUCUUCUUCAAUUUGCAGACAAAGUUCUCUUUACCUUUAACUUUGAAGCCUUCUAGUUGCUCCAUAUAAAUUUCCUCCUCCAAAUCCCCAUGAAGGAAAGCUGUCUUCACAUCUAAUUGCUCAACCUCCAAGCCCUGGCUAGCAGCAAUACCUAGAGCAACACGAAUAGAAGACAUUUUAACAAUAGGAGAAAAAAUCUCUUCAAAGUCAAUACCUUUCUUUUGACCAAAGCAUUUCACAAUCAAUCUAGCUUUGUACUUUAGUUGAGAACAAUAUUCUUGAGUCUUCAACCUGAAAACCCACUUGUUCUUCAAGGACUUCAUUUCAUUUGGUAGUAGCAUCAAAUCAUAAGUGUGGUUAUUCUAAAGAGCAUCAAUCUCUUCCUGCAUAGCAACUAACCAUUUCUCUUUCUGCUCACUUUCAACUGUUUCCUGGUAACUCUCUGGUUUACCUGCAUCAGUAAGCAUCACAUACUCAUCUGUAGAGUAUCUUUUGGAAGGUUGACAUUGUCUAGAAGAUCUUCACAACGGAGGUUCUGCGGGAAGUUGCUCUCUAACUUCUUCUUGCUCGACAUGUCCUGCAGGUAGAUCAACAUCAGACUCUACACUAUCUUCCUGCACAUCUCCCCCAUCACCCUGAUAUAUUGGAGGAGUAAUUGGGUCACAAUCUGCUAAUCCUUCUGUAGAAGUAUUGGCUGGUGCCUUCUUCUUCAAAUCUUCAAAAGUUUGAUCCUCAAAGAAGACUACAUCUCUACUUCUAAACACCUUCUGCUUUUCUGGAUCCCAAAGUCUGUAACCAAAAUGAUCAUGUGAGUAGCCAAGAAAAAUAUAUUCUUUAGACUUACCAUCUAGCUUGGACCUCUCAUUAUCUGGAAUAUGUGCAAAUGCACAAUAACCAAACACUCUCAAAUGCUUGUAGGAAACAUCUUUCUCUAACCAUACAUGCUCUACAACAUAACAUCACCAUCUAGGGUUGUACAUUGUCACGACCUUAGCUAGAAUUGCCUAAGGUGUGAGGCACGCUUGCGGCCAAAGACGCGAAUUUAGCCUGCGUUGCCUAAGUCACGAGUCACCCUUGCGACAAAGACGCGAACUUAGCUUGCGUUGCCUAAGUCACGCUCCGCCCUUGGGAUAUUGCUCCGUAAGGAUCAGCCCACUUGUAACCUCUCACAGGUCCCGAAGGACCUGUAAAAAGAUAAAGUUGAUUAGUUCGAAAGAACGAGCGACGGACAAGUCCCGACGUCUCGCGAAAAGGGGAAGCUUUACAAGCAAUUCAGCGAGCACCUUGCGUGCACAAGAGAAAAUAGGGAGAGGGGGAAAACAAGGGCUUUAGAAGCUUGAAUGAACAGCUGCAAGCCCACAAACAACCGCUCACCUGGUCCCGGGCGCGACAACAAGUUCCUGUCAAGACAAUGUGCGAACUUGCGAAAGAGUGUUCAACGCCCGGUAUAUAUCUGAAGCCCCAUCCAGCCCUGUGCCACCCGGGGGGUUCAAAGGGGCUGAGAUGGCUGAUGUUUUGGUGAGCGGAGGCAGAUUCCAGAAAUCAGCCCGCAACACGCGAAAACGAAGCUGUUUUGGGCUGUUUUGCUCGGUUCGGUGAGCGGUCGCUUGUAACACUGCAGCUUGUUCGAACUUAUAUUUUUACAAGAAAAAUGACCCAAAAGCAAGAGAAAAUAUGUUGUCAAGCAACUGUACAUGUAGGUGUGAGCGACGAACGGUUCGUUGAACGGAGUUGUUGCGAGUGCACGACGACCGUUCGGGACAUUCUCCUCCACUUAAACUGUUGACGCCCUCGUCGACGCUUGUUGGUAGUUGUUGAUGAUUUCUUCUUCAUGUCGCAGGGCAUCUUCAGGCUCCCAAUUGGCUUCAGUUCGGGGAAGCUUUCGCUACUUCACCAAGUACUCUAUCUGCUCAGCUCCGUUGGAUAGCUUUAUCUUGCCGUAUGCCAUAAUGGUUUCAACUUGCUUCUCGUAGGAGGCUGUGAUGGGAGGUAGCUGAGUUGGAACACUUCGGGCAGCAUCUUGCGGAUCCGAGUGGUAGGCUUUUAGGUUGCUGGCGUGAAGAAAGUUGUGAAUUUUGAACCACGUCGGUAGCUACAACUUUUAAGAGACGUUGCCUACCGUGCUGAUAAUUGGGAAGGGCCCUUCAUACUUGCGCACCAAUCCUUUGUGGACUUUGUUCCUAAAGAAUUGGAGUGAUGCUGGUUAGAGCUUUACCAACACCAAAUCGCCAACUUUGAACUCUUACGGUCGCCUUCCCAAGUCUGCCCACUUCUUCAUCCUUUUUGCCACCUUCUCCAAGUAAGCCCGCGUAAUAUCUGCAUUUUGAUGCCACUCCUUUGCGAAAUGGUAGGCUGACGGACUACUCGCAGUAUACCCAAUGGCCAUGGUGUGCGGAGUCGACGGUUGUUGUCCAGUUAUGAUCUCGAAGGGGCUCUUAUUGGAUGCAGAGCUCCGAUGCAAGUUGUAGGAGAAUUGGGCAAUAUCCAAUAGCUUCACCCAAUCUCGUUAGUUGGCACUCACGUAGUGACGAAGAUAUUGCUCCAAGAGCGAGUUUAUCCUUUCAGUCUGGCCAUCUGUCUGGGGGUGGAGGCUUGUAGAGAAGUAUAACUUUGACCCCAACAAUUUGAAUAGCUCGGUCCAGAAUCGUCCCAGGAACCGAGCGUCUCGAUCACUAAUGAUAUUGUGCGGGACUCCCCAAUACUUCACCACAUCCUUCAUCAUCAGCUUGGCCGCCUCCUCUGCUGAACAGUGUAGGGGAGCAGCAAUGAAGGUUGCAUACUUUGAAAACCGAUCGACCACCAUGAGUAUCGAUCUGAGUCUCCUUACAAGUGGCAAGCUUGAUAUAAAGUCUAAGGAAAUGCUCUCCCACGGCCUUUCUGGUACGGGCAACGGCUCCAAAAGUCCCACCGGCUUCUGCUACUCCACCUUGUCUUGUUGGCAAGUAAGGCAUGUUCGAACAUAUUCCUCCACAUCAGUCCCCAUCUUCGGCCAAUAGAAGGCCCUCUCCUCGAGAGCCAACGUUCUGUGAAUGCUUGGGUGUCCAGCCCAAAGGGAAUCGUGACACUCUUUUAAGAGUUCACGCCUCAAAUUGUCCACUCGGGGAACAUAAACCCUAUUCCCUUUUGUGUAAACGAGUCCAUCCUGGACCCAAAAUCGUCGUGCCUUGCCUUCUUUGAUGAGUUACAUCAGGAUAACUGCCUGGGGGUCACUAUACAGUCCAUCCCUGAUUCGGGAAAGGAAGUUGGAGUGCAACUGACUUGCUUGGCCUCUAUCCUCCAGUUGUACGACAUUCACACAUUCCACUUUCUGACUCAGCGCAUCGGCCACGACAUUCGCCUUCCCGGGCUUGUACUCCAUUGCCAUAUCAAAUUUAGCCAGGAAGUCUUGCCAUCGCGCCUGCUUUGGGGAGAGCUUCUUCUGAGUUUGGAAAUAGCUCAGGGCGAUGUUUUCCGUCCUCAGCACAAAUCGCGACCCGAGGAGGUAGUGUCGCCAAACUCGUAGAUAGUGGAUCUCUGUUGUCAUCUCCUUCUCAUGCACUAGAUACCGCCGCUCGGUCUCGUUGAGUUUGCGGCUCUCGUAGGCCACCGGAUGACCUUCCUGCAUGAGUACUCCCCCAAUAGCAAAGUCCGAAGCGUCUGUAUGGACUUCAAAGGGCUCUCCAUAGUCCGGCAAUUUGAGCACCGAUUCUUCCAGAACAACAGCCUUCAGAUCUUGGAAUGUUAUUUCACAUCUGUCAGACCACUUCUAAGGCUGCUCCUUCUUCAGCAACUCCGUCAGUGGAGUUGCCCGCUUCGAAUAUCCCGCUAUGAAGCGUCGAUAGUAUUUGACGAAACCAAGGAAGGAUCUCAACUCUGGCACCUUCUUAGGAGUUCGUCAUUCCGCAACUGCUUGCACCUUCGACUUAUCCAUCUGAAUGGAGCCAUCACCGAUUCGAUGCCCCAAGAAUAAGAUCUCAGUUUGGGCAAAGUAGCAUUUCUCCUUUUUCACGAACAAGGUGUUCUCCCUGAGAACCUUGAAAUUUGUCCGAAGGUGUUUGACAUGCUCCUCAAGCGUUUGACUGUAGACGACGAUAUCGUCCAAGUAGACAAUCACGAACUUAUCCAAAUACUCCUUGAAUAGCUGGUUCAUGAGAGUGCAGAACGUGGACGGAGCGUUGGUUAAGCCGAAGGGCAUCACCAAGAACUCAAACGCUCCAUACCUGGUCACACAAGUAGUCUUCGCUUCGUCGCCUUCAGCAAUGCGUACCUGCCAAUACCCCGACCGAAGGUCAAGCUUCGAGAAAUACUUAGCUUUUCCCAACUGGUCGAACAAGUCCGCGAUGAGCGGGAUGGGAUACUUGUUCUUCACUGUCACUUUGUUAAGGGCUCGGUAAUCGACGCAUAAUCGGAGGCUCCCAUCUUGUUUCUUCUGGAAGAGAACUGGAGCUCUGAAAGGUGCUUUAGAGCUGCGGAUGAGACCACUACUUAGCAGUUCACCUAACUGCUUUCUGAGUUCUGCCAACUCUGGCGGCCAUGCGGUAGGGUGGUCUCGCUGGAGGCUUCACUCCUGGCUCCAGCUCAAUUUUAUGAUCCAUGCCCCUGCGUGGUGGAAGAGUCUUCGGCAACUCAGGUGGCAUAAUGUCAGUGAACUCUUUCAGGACGUUCGCCACCACAGCAGGUUCAUGAUUGGCCUCCUUGUCGAGUGGCUCUAACUUCAUAGCCGCCACGAAUGUUAGUUUGUCUUUUCGUACCCCCUUCUUCAAUUGCAAUGCCGAUAUGUGUUGGGGCUCCUUGGUUCAUCUCCGAGAGACGGGAACCACGCAGGGGUCGUCACCUCCCAUCAUACAUAGGGAGUUCAAGAAUGGCAUUGGCACCAACUUCACCGCGUGCAUAAACUCCAUUCCAAGAAUCACUUGGAAGUCAUCCAAUGGCACGACCAUCAUGUUGGUGUUCCCGCUCCACGUCUCGAUUUUGAUGGGAACUCCCUUCGCUAACCCGGAGAUUCGCCUGGCCUCCGAGUUCACCGCCUUCAUUCGGCUUGGGCUCUUCUCCAAGAUCAACCCAAGUCACUGUGCUUCUCGAUCAGCUAUGAAGUUGUGGGUAGCGCCCGUGUCCACCAUUGCACGGGUCGUUUGGCCAUUUAGCUUGAUGUCCACAUACAUCAGCUCACUUCUUCUUGCUUUUUGUAACUUUGUCUUCAUAUUCUCCCCCACGUGACUCCGCAUAGCGUUCAACAAAAGCAUUGCUCCCAUUCAGGGUCCUUGCGACUCCUCGUCGUCGCUGCUGGAUUCAGAACUGCUCGAACUAAGAGCAACAGCUUUGCCCUUGUCCGAUCGGGGGGGGGGGGGGGGGGGGUGGAUGGAAGCCGUCAAAGCAUUGAGUGCCUGUUUUUGUGGGCACUCCCUCACCAUGUGUGGUCCUCCGCACAAGAAACAUCCUCCAGGUUUUGAGGCCUUGCCUUUCGGGUUCGGCCCUUUGUGGGAACUCUUCUUCUUUUGCUCGCCCCCGAGCUCCUUCCCUCGAGAAUGUUUUGGAGGGCGAUUGCCUGAAGAUUGUUUCCUUCUUCCUGGGUCUUCAGAGGAAACAAAGUCGGUGAGCCUUUUUGCAGUAGCAAUUACCCCGACGACAUCAGUAACAUUCCUUCGAUUUAGCUCCUGUUGAGCCCAUGACUUCAAACCAUCGAGGAAGCUGAACAACUUGUCCUUCUCAGACAUGUCCUGUAUGUCCAGCAUUAGUGCAGAAAAUUGUUUCAUAUAGUCUCGGAUGGUGGUACUCUAGCGGAGUUGUCUCAACUUCCUUCUUACGACGAACUCUGUGUUCUUCGGUAGGAACUGAGUUCUCAACUCCCGCUUCAAGUCCUCCCAUGUGUCGACUCGACACCAACCUUGUUGGAUCUCCUCCCAACGGGUUCGCCACCAAAGUUUCGCAUCUCUGUUUAGAUACAUUGUUGCUAUAGAAACUUUGGUAUCUUUAGAAUUGGGCCUCGUAGCUCGAAAGUAUUGUUCCAUGUCGAACAGAAAGUUCUCGAGCUCUUUGGCAUCUCUGGCCCCUCCAUAUCCAUGAGGCUCGGGUGCCCUCAAAUUUUGUGGCAGUGCAACACGGGUGUUGCUUCCUCCCGCAUUUAGUGUUCCUGUGAGCAUGACCACCUUUGAAGUGAGUUCCGCCACAACAUCCUAUAAGUGUUGCACGGAGUCUUUGGUGUCAUCAGACAGUCGGUCAACUAGGGCCUCGACCUUGUCAAUCCUAGACUUCGCUUCCUCUUGCGAGCUCUCUACCCCAACAAGCCUUUGUUGGCCAUGGUAGAGUUCCUCCAUGCUCGCUUCAAGAACAUCCAGGCGGGUUUCCGUCGUUGUGAGUCUCUCCUUGUGACUCUUUUUCCCAGUUAGCGCUCCAGAUUGCGCUUCCUCCGCUCGCGGAGAGUAACCAACUUCUCGCUCAUCAUGUUCGCUGUCGCGCUCCUCUUGAGUGGCUACAAUAGCAUGAGAGCGAGUGUGCACAUGCAGCCCACCUGCGGCUGCUUGGGGCAAGGGUCCGGCUUGCCCCAUCUUGCUUGAUUCGCCACGAUGCUUUGCCAUGGAGAAGUUACGAAGUUCGUUCGCUGCUCGCUCGAAGUGCUUGCCCGCUCUGAUAUCACAAUGUCCUGGCCUUAGCUGGAAUUGCCUAAGGCAUGAGACACCCUUGCGGCCAAAGACGCGAACUUAGCUUGCGUUGCCUAAGUCGCGAGUCACCCUUGUGGCAAAGACGCGAACUUAGCUUGCGUUGCCUAAGUCGUGCUCCGCCCUUGCGAUAUUGCUCCAUAAGGAUCAGCCCACUUGUAACCUCUCGCAGGUCCGAAGGACUUAUAAAAAGAGAAAGUUGAUUAGUUCGAAAGAACGAGCGACGGACAAGUCCCGACGUCUCGCGAAAAGGGGAAGCUUUACAAGUAAUUCAGCGAGCACCUUGCGUGCACAAGAGAAAAGAGGGAGAGGGGGAAAACAAGGGCUUUAGAAGGUUGAACGAUAGCUGCAAGCCCACAAACAGCCGCUCACCUGGUCCCGGGCGCGAUAACAAGUUCCUGUCAAGGCAACGUGCGAACUUGCGAAAGAGUGUUGAACGCCCAAUAUAUAUCCGAAGCCCCAUCCAGCCCUGUGCCACCCAGGGGGUUCAAAGGGGCUGAGAUGGCUGACGUUUUGGUGAGCGGAGGCAGAUUCCAGAAAUCAGCCCGCGGCACGCAAAAACGGAGCUGUUUUGGGAUGUUUUGGAGUUGUUUUGCUCGGUUCGGUAAGCGAUCGCUUUGUAACGCUGCAGCUUGUUCGAACUUACAUUUUUACAAGCAAAAUGACCCAAAACCAAGAGAAAACAUGUUGUCAAGCAGUUGUACAUGUAGGUGUGAGCGAUGAACGGUUCGUUGAACGGAGUUGUUGCGAGUGCUUGACGACCGUUCGUGACAACAUGGUGAUAAGUUGAUCACAUCAACUGUAGUCCUCAAAGCCUCAUCCUAAAACCUUUUGGGUAGCUUGGCCUGUGAAAGCAUAUAUCUGAUCUUUUCCAUGAUGGUGCGGUUCAUCCUCUCUGCAAUUGCAUUAUGCUGAGGUGUACCAAGAACUGUCAUCUCAUGUUAGAUCUCAUGUGACCUGCAAUAGUCAUUAAACGAUCCUGUAUACUCACCACCAUUAUCUGAUCUUAUGCAUUUCAAUUUCCUUUUUGUCUCCCUUUUAAUCCUAGCAUGAAACUCUUUGAAGACAUUAAUUACCUGAUCUUUAGUCUUCAAAGCAUAGGCCAAACUUUUCUGGAAAAAUCAUCUAUAAAAGUGACAAAAUAAAGUGCACCACUUAUACCAAGAACAUCAACAGAUCCAUCAUGAGUUUUUGUCCUCAAAGGACCACAUACAUUUGUAUAAAUACAGUCUAAGACAUGCAUUUUUCUAGAUAAAACAGGACUAGCAAAUAAAACUCUAUGUUGUUUACCUGCCAAACAAUCAAUACAAGGGUUCAGAUGUAUACCUUUGAGGUCUGGUAAUAUCUCUCUUGGAAAGAGCUUGCAGCCCCUUCUCGCUCAUGUGUCCCAAUCGUCUAUGCCACAACUCCAUGCUGAAGUCUUUUUCUGUAGCAUUUAACUGCUCACCAUAAGCUUUAACCUGCAACCUGUACAAAGUAUGACAUUUCUUUCCAUUAGCUAUAACAAGAGAACCCUUACUGAGCUUCCGUUGCCCUUUGUGAAAUCUGCUUUCAUAGUCUUCAUCAUCUAGUCUUCCAACUGAAAUUAGAUUCAGCCUCAAGUCAACCGCAUGCCUCACAUCCUUAAGCCACAACUUGCAGCCAAGGUUGGUCUUUAAAUGGAUAUCACCCAUGCCUAUGAUGUCUACUGUGUCAUAGUUGCCCAUCUUGACAACACCAAAAUUUUCAGACCUAUAUGUAGCAAAAAACUCCCUCCGUGGUGUAGCAUGAUAAGAAGCACCUGUGUCAAUCACCCACUCAAGAUCCUGACACACACAAGAAAAAAUAUCAUCAGAAGGAGAUAAAAUCAAAUAAUCACCACCCUGCAUUAUAGUUGUGAUAUUAUCUUUUGACUCUAUAGACUCCACUUCUUUUCCCUUUUUUUUGCUCUUCUUAUGUUGCUUACAUUGGUUCUUGUAAUGUCCUUUCUCACCACAAUUGUAGCAAACAAUAUCUUUUCUUGAUCUUGACUUGCUUCUACCCAUGCAUGAAUUGCUUCUAGACUUUGACCUUCCUCUAUUCUCUGAGAUAAAUGCUUGUGAAUCAUUCUGAGAUGUUGCUGAACUCUUUCUUCUCAACUCCUCAUUCAACAAACUGCUUAUUACUUGACUCAUAGUGACAACACCAUCUGGCGUAGAAUUACUAAGGGAAACCACCAGUGUCUCCCAACUUUCUAGUAAUGAACUGAGAAGUAACAAUGCUUGCAACUCAUCAUCAAGAGACAUUUUCAUAGAAGAUAACUGGUUAGUAAUACUUUGUAUUUCAUUCAAAUGUUCAGCAAUAGAAGCACCCUCUCUAUAUUUUAUGUUCACAAGUUUUCUAAUCAAAAAAGCUUUGUUGCUAGUUGUUUUUCUUUCGUAGAGACUUUCCAACUUUUUCCAAAGAGAAUAUGCAGAAAUUUCAGUAGAAACAUGGUGAAAGACACUAUCAUCAAGCCACUAUCGAAUAAAUCCAAUUGUUUUUCGAUCUAACAUCUUCCACUCAUCAUCUGUCAUAGUUAUGAGUUUUGCACUAUCCCCCUGCAAAGGUCCAUAUAAAUCUUUGCAAUUCAAGAGAUCUUCCAUUCUUGGUUUCCAUAUCAUCCAAUUGUUUCCAUUUAAACUAAUCAUGCGAGAAACAUUACUGGCCUCCAUGUUCAAAUACAAAAUUUAAAUCACCAAAACCUCUUUUGCUCUGAUACCAGUUGAUAGGGAUAUAAACAGGAAUAACCUUUGUAUAUGAACAAAUACUAGAAGACCAUGAUAUGCAGCGGAAUUAAAUGAAAUCACAAUCAAAUAGAACACCAAGAUAUACGUGAAAAACCCCUUCAAUGUGAAGAAUAAAAAUCACGGGGCAAACUAGAGAUAAUCCACUAUGAGAAUAAUGAAUAUACAAAUCUCAAUCUCUUGCUAUAAGCCCUAGCAACAAUCACAAGAGAACAACUGAGAUACAAAGAUCACGUCACUGUCCACGAUAUCUAAAACCUCCCUAAGUAAUCACAGCAAGAGUUUACUGUAGAUUUGAUCUAACCUGAGAUGAGAACACUACUAGAUGAUUGAGAACAGCCUCUCUGCGUUAUCCUUGUCUUCUUACCUUUCUUUCUCUUUCUUUUCUGCCUUGUUUUCCUCCUUUUCUUUGAAAUCCCGUGACUAUAUCCUUCUCCCACGUUGCUGCCCUAUUUAUGCCUUUUUCUACCUCCAAAACAUAGCCACCACACCCCCCUAAUGUUAAUUAGGGUUAAGUUAAGAGGGGGUAAGCUGUGGGCUGUCGAAGCCCACCAUGAGCUGAAUUUGUGGGCUGCCAACCCAACAAAAUAUACUUUUAUAGUUGUGGGGCUGAUCAUAAUUCCAUCUUCUUUGCAUGUCUCUACCAAUAUUUUUCUACAGGUAAGGUGAAUGUCAUUCCAUGAUGGGUGCUGGCUCUGCUGUUGACGGUGGCUUCUAAAUGAACUUUGGUGAAAUUGUCCUGAAGACCAAAGCAUUAGCAGAUCUUGAUAUUUGUGUUUUUAUAUGAGGUACGUUACAGAUUCAUGAAAUCUAUACUUUUGUUAUGUUUACAGAAGUUUGUAUAAAGUUUGGUGUAUGAUUAUCCUCGACGAAUGUCCUUUCAGGUUCUCACAUCUGUGUAGCUUAUGUUCGUUGAGAAUCUUAAUGAGAAUUUAUUGUAUCAGUGAAGUCUAGAAAACGAGUUAUGACAAGAAAAUGAUGGUUAUUUAGGGAUGAAUCUUCCAGACUAAUCUACUGAUCGGUAAAACCCAAUAUUUACAUACUUGCAACACUUAAAAAACUUUUUUAUGUGGCAUUAUGUGAUAAAUCCAUCUGUGAAACUUGUGGAGAUUGGAAUUUCCAUAAUGUUUAUAUUUUUUUUGGAUGCUGAUGAACCCCAGAAGAAAGAUUUAUUCCCAUGAAUGAAAUGCUACUAGUUUACCUUCUAGGUUAAAAGUGAGUAAAUUUAUUGUCAAAAGAAAUCAUAUUGCUCAAUCCAUAGGCAUGCUCAUAUUCGAUAUCCCUGUCAAGCAAUCCUUGGUUGCUGUGAUAUUUCAGCAAUCCUUGGUGGUGGUGGUGGUGGUGGUGGUGGUGGUGGCAGUCAAAGUUGAGAACAUGGCCAAUUUGGACAGUGGUCCAUCUGAUUCAUCUCUAUCCUGGUGGCUAUAUUCAUCAAGCAACCUGUGACUUUUUGCAAAUCUACUUUUAUCUAAAAGUUGAAAAUAAGCUCCAAUUGGACCAGCAUCCUUUGACUUUUUGCGAGAGACGUUUUCUGAAUUCUACACUUCUUUUUCAGUGAUGAAGAUGAUGGCGCAUGAUGAUGUAUGUGCAGGAGAAGCUGCAGGAAGCAUGUGAUAUGAACUAACAGAAGAAGACAAUCUAUCCAUCCACCCUCAUGAAGCAGGUGACGAGCAUCCCUUUCUUCUCAUCUCUUGUUUUGGAUCAACUUGCAGGUGCAAAAGCCAUCUCAACCUACUGAUAAUGUGAACUUGUGUAUAAUUCCACUUCUCAGAAACGGAAAGAAGCAAUGAACAAAUCCAAGACAAGUCGAUGCUGAUGAUCAAACGAUCUCAAUGUGUAUAUGGAAGAUGCCACUGGCUUUGGUCAAUCAAAAUUCAAAAGUCCAGUGGAGCAUUCAGAGCCCUCGAUGGACAACUACUGCAAUAAUGCAUAGGAGAUCACAAAAACAAGUUGAAACACUUGUCACCUCCAAGAAAUCUCGGACAAGUGGAUGCUGGUGACCAAUCCAGUUUGUGCAUCUCGGUGGCCAAAGCAUAUUUGCUGAUGACAGUUCAUGAUCUUAAUCCGGGCAUUGAGGAUGAAGAUUCAACUGGCUUUGGUCAAGGAAAUCGACCCUGAAACCUUGAGCCAGCAGUGUCUUGUCUUGGCUGGAUGUUGGAGGUGGACUAAUCUACUUCAAGGCAUGCAAUUGUCAGCUAGUGCGGCAUGAUCCAAUGGAGCAUUUAAAACCAUUGAUGGACAUCAACUGCAAUGCGCAGAGGUCUUCGGAUUCUGGUGCUGAAGCAGUAGAACCCAAUGCUUCACGCUUUUCCUCAAUCAAUCAAUCUUACUUUGCAUGAAGAGAAACAACAAGUACCUGAAGUUGCUCAGAAAGUUGAACCAGGACUAAGCGUGCAGGAGUUUUGUCACUCAUGAUUUAAACCUGUCUCGAUCAAUCUAAUAGAAAUUUCUUCAGCGAUGACAAUGGAUUGAGAUUUUAGAUGAGGAAGCAAAUUGAAGUUUGGGUUAAGAUUUAUUUUAGUCAGUUUUAGUAAUAAGUUUGUAUGGUUGAUUCGUUUUUAAAAUAAUUUUAAUGUUUUUAAAAAUACAACAUAUAAAUCUUUCUUAUGAAAUGUGAGUUAACAAACAUUAAAUUCUGUUUACACGAUAUGUCGAUUCAUAAUAAAUUAUUAAUAUAAUGAUACGUAUAAUUUAAAUUAAAAAAAAUUAAAUUUUAUUUUAGCUUUUAAUAUUUUUUAAAAUGUGAGCAUUAAAUUCUGUUUACACGAUAUGUUGAUUCAUAAUAAAUUAUUAAUAUAAUAAUAUAUAUAAUUUAAAUUUUAAAAAAUAUUAAAUUUUAUUUUAACUCUUGUGAUUUUAAUUAUGGUCAACUUAAGUUUUUAUGGUUUAAUUGUGUUUAAAAUAAUGCUUAUAUUUUCAAAAACAUAGGAUAUAAACUAUCUCGUGAGUUAAUAGACGUUAGAAUCUACUUUGAAUCUACUUACGUGGCAUAUAGACUCACAAUAAAUUAUUAAUAUAAUGAUAUAUAAUUUAAGUUUUAAGAAGGGUUAAGAUUAAUCUUGUCGAGGAAGAGAAAACGAUAGAGGUUGUAACGACGAACAAAGACGGAGAGACAAAAGGCUGGAGGAGGCAUUGGUGAGGGAGAGCUAGACUGUCAUAUUGUAGGCAUGGUGGGUGGAGGCACGGGAGAGGAUGAAGUGGGAGACGGUGGGGAUAAAGAUGCCGAGGGGGAGGAAGAGGAAUCGAGAAACCAUUGUGUGCAUAGUAUCAAACUGGUCGAUGCACAUCCAUCUAAAGCUGGAUCGAAAGCUCAUGAGCUUGUUUUUAAUGCGAGAGAGAUCGUGUGCAUACGACGCCUUGCUAUGUAGUAGUGGCUCAGUGUUGUUACUGCUGAUCACUUUCAUGAUGAUGCAUUUUCAUGCCAUUGAUGGUGGUCUCAGUUUUUUUCUUUAAACUUAAAUUAUAUGUAAUAUUAUAUUAAUGAUAUAUUAUGAGUCAAUAUAUCACAUAAGUAGACUUUACUAUCUAUUAACUCAAGCUUGACAGAAAUAACUUAUAUGUUAUGUUUUGAAAAUAUAAGAGUUAUUUUAUACACGAAUAAACUAUAAGAACUUAAGUGGUCUAUGACUAAAAUCACAUGGGUUAAAAUAGAUCUUAAUUUUUUAUUAAAUUUAAAUUAUAUAUAUUAUUAUAUUAAUAAUUUAUUAUGAAUCAACAUGUCAUAUUAUAACAUAUAUAUACAAAGAAGAAACUUAAAUGUUAUAUUUUAAAAUAUAAAAUUUAUUUUAGAUGUGAGUAAAUCGAUCAAAAUCAUAAGAAUUAAAAUGGACCUUAAACCUAAAAAUUUUGAUUCAAGUAUAUAACAGUAAAGAAGAUUUGGAUAUGGAUGGUUUUUUUUUAAUAUCCUUUAAUGGGGUAAGAGAUUAAGAAGCAUUCUAGUUGAGUUUGGAUACCUUUAAAUCUUUCACAUAUUUGAAGUAUUUUAUGUGAUAUUUAUUUAUUAUGAUGGAUGAUAAAUCUUAACAUCCGGACAUAGGUGAUCACGUUGGUCUUUAUGUUAUUAUUAUUAUUAUAAUUAUAAUUAUUAUUAUUAUAAUAUAUGAUACAUAUAAUGUGGUAGUAACACAUUGAUCAAUGUCCUCUACAAUAAUAAAUGAAAAAGAUGUCCAUUGGGCUCCACCAAGGUGGCGGGGGGAAUAAACAGUCUCGAAUGGCAAUUCAAUAUUGGCAUCUCACGGCUGCCGCCGCUCUCUUCCAGUUCACGUCGACGACUCCAUGGCUCGUAACUCUCUCUCUCUCUCUCUCUCUCUCUCCUCUCUCUCUUCGAAUCUGAUACAUUCCGUUCCUUGAUGCGGCGCAGUUGGGCGGAUCCUGCGGCCGGUCAUCGCCGUCGCGCUGUUCCUCCUCUUCCUCCGGUUGCCGCCGCGGGCGACGGGGCAGAGGCCGGAGGUCGUUACCGCGAGGCACGGCGCCGUGGCCACCGAUGACCGACGCUGCUCCAGGGUCGGGAGGGACGUCCUCCGAGAGGGCGGCCACGCAGUGGACGCCGCCGUCGCCGCUGGCCUCUGCCUGGGCGUCGUCAGCCCCGCGUCCAGCGGCGUUGGCGGGGGCGCCUUCAUGCUCGUGAGGGCGGCCAGCGGGAGAGCGCACGCCUUCGAUUCGAGGGAGACUGCUCCCUUGGCGGCCUCCGAGGUACGACAUACCCAUCUGCUCGGCUUCUUAUUUGCUUUUGGGUAUAUUCCUUUUAAUCGAUAGAGUUACUUGUAGAUGAUCGAGCUACUAAUUCUUGGGGCAACUUCACAUGAGAGUCAAAAGAACAACUGUCAUCAACUUAUAGGAUUUAAUUUCUGAACUUUAAGGUUAUUUAAGAUACCCAGCCAGCAAACCAUCUCAAAGAUGCACUUUCUUAGUAAAGUGUAUGCUGUCAAAACUAUUUAUCUUUGUAAGUUUUCCGUCAAAAAAGUGCCUUGCUAAUUGAUAUUGGAUUUUUUGGCCUUUUUAAAUCGCCAUAUAAGUUUUUCUUUUCCUUUGAUGCUUAUGUUUGAAUGCUUAGCCGAGUAUUGGUAUUUGAUUUGAGACUGCCUGUUUUCCUCUUCUUUUCUCUCCUUCACAAUUACUUUGACAGACCCUCCAUGUUCAUCAACUUAAAUGGAAAAUUAAAGGAAUCUAAUUGUAAAUUUUUUUGGCACAAAAAAAUCUAUUUAUUUGUCUGUCAUGUUCCUAGAGCAAGUUCUUCAAAAUUUUCAAUGUAUUUGAUGAUGCCUGCAGAACAUGUAUGCUGGCAAUGCUGCAGCAAAAGCAAGUGGUGCCCUUUCGGUAGCUGUUCCCGGAGAAAUUGCAGGAUUUUAUGAGGCUUGGAAACAAUAUGGAAAGCUUCCGUGGAAGAGGCUGGUAAUGCCAGCAGCAAAUAUUGCUGAAAAAGGAUUCAGAAUAUCUCCUUACUUAUAUAUGCAGAUGAAUAGAACAAAAUUAGGCAUUUUUACUGAUAAAGGACUGCGUGAUAUUUUCACAUUAAAUGGAAGAAGCCUUUUGCAGCAAGGAGAUGUGUGUCAUAACAAAAGACUUGCACAUACUCUGAAAGCUAUUUCAGACCACGGGCCAGAUGUGCUUUAUAAUGGUCCCAUCGGAAUUAAACUAAUUAGAGAUAUUAAGAAGUCUGGAGGCAUAUUAACGAUUAAAGAUUUACAGAGAUAUCAAGUAAAAGUGAAGGAGCCAAUCUCUUCUGAAAUCCUGGGGUUAAACAUCUUGGGCGUGCCACCCCCUUCAUCUGGUGGUGCUGGACUGAUACUUGUAAGUCUUUAUUGAUUUAAUCUCCUCAUGUCUAACAAAGAUAUCAAUGUCGAGUCCAUGGAUGCUACUAGUAUGAGUGAGGUUCCAGUUUUAAGUGCCAUUUGGAAAAGAAUUGAGAGUCUUGUUUACCAAUUAGUUGACAUGUAUUAUUAAAAAGGUUAGGAAAUUAGCUGACCAACCAUUCUGUUGUUUCACUUACCUGCUUAUAAACUAACCAUUUUGCCCUUUCCUGUUUCCAUUCAUUUAAUGACAAUCACUAUGUAGAAAUUAUAAAUGGACAUUAAUUAGGAAGACAUUUUCUUUCUUGUAAUUUUGCACUUCCUGAUUGAUAAAAGUACCGAAAAUUUGGUAAAAUGUACCAAGUUUUCUCUAGUCUGACUGUUUAGGUUACAUCUUUGUCAUUAAUUCUGAAACUAGUUGGCAUAACUAACAACCAACAAGUGAACUAUUUUGUGCUUCUAGAAUUGAGAAAUAUGCGAGCCACUUUUCCAUAUGACCUGCCUUUCUUUUAUACUUGAGUUAUCAGUUACCAUGUAUCAGAUUUCAAAGAUCAAGUGGACAUUUGCUGAUACGUUAAAAUAUUUAUCAUCCAUAGAUUUUUCUGUACUUGUAUAUAAUACAAAAAAUGCUCAAUAUACCUUAUAAAAAAUUGGCCUUUCAUUGAUACGGAAUCAGGCUAAGCCUCUAUAUUGAUGACAUGACAGAAAAAAAAAAAAACAAAAAAGUAUACUUCAGUUAAAUGCGCUGAUUCCAAAAAUGUUUGUAACAUGUAAUUCUGCCUAGGAUUUCUGCAAAUUGAUUGAUAUUAUUUAGUAGUAGUUCUUGAACAUAUGAACUCACAGGUUAUUAUUAAAAUGUAACAAGAAUUAUAAAGCAUCUAAAUCCAACUCUUUUUAAUUGCAUUAUUGUUCAUAAGACACCCAGUAUGGAUCUUAAAUUCUUUUAUGUAACAGAAAUUUCCCCUUUCUUUUCUUUUCUUGAUGGCACAGAUAUUAAAUAUUCUUGCUCAAUAUGGAAUUCCAUCAGGUGUUUCUGGCUCUCUUGGACUUCAUCGGUUUAUUGAAUCACUGAAGCACAUGUUUGCGGUGAGAAUGAACCUUGGGGAUCCUGACUUUUACAAUGUUACGGCAGUUCUUUCCGAUAUGCUCUCUCCAAAGUUUGCAGAAGAUUUAAAGAAAACCAUCAAUGACAACAAGACAUUUCCUCCUAACUAUUAUGGAGGAAGGUAAGUAAAGUACUAUAUCUAGAUCUUAUCCUACUCUUAUGAUUACAUUCACAAAUUUAAAAUACAGAUUACAGCUGUAUUUAGAACUGUAGAAGUUCUUAUGACAUGCUAUUGUGGUUUAUAUCUACUUCAACAUCUUUCCCUGCAAAAACAAUUAAAGACUUGAACUAUUGAAUGAUCAACACAUAGAUUUAGGUCAUUGGUGUCACAUCACAGAUUUAUAAAAAGAAUAAUAAAUCAGUAAUUUAUUAUCCAUAAUUUACAAAAUAAACUCUCUUUCUUUUUUUUCGUCAUUGAAUUCAAAUCAUUGUCUUUACAAUAGUAAAUAUUCUAUUAACUAGAAAAAAAGAAUCACAUCUUCUUGGUAGGGUCACAAAUAUUUUUCACCCAAGCUUCAGAUCUAUUACAAAGUAAUAGAUUACUUUGAAAUUAAAUAUAAGAUAAAAACAUAUCAGCAAUCAUACAUGCUAGUAGGAACCUCGAAAAAAUCAUAAAAAUAAUUUUCAAUAUUCGUGAAAUAUAAACAAAUAUUAAUAAUUUAAUAAGAAAUGAUAAUAUAUCGAUUCAUCAUAAAACUUAUGCAUCAGAAAAAUGAUGAUAAUUUCUUACAUAAUAAGCAAAAUCAUUCAUCAACCACAUGCAACACAUACAUAAUAACUAGAUAACAAAGACGUACAUCACACCCGAUGGUGCACUCUCUCAAUAGCGGAUAGAGAGGCAUAUUCCACGGGAUGAAUUUCUCCCAAUAGAUUGACAUUAAACACCCGAGUCUUGGACAGGUCACAUGCGCUGUACAUACCUAUUCUAAGUAAUAGAUUGAGUUGAGGUAUAACGGGCUAGAUAGAGGAGCAACGAUGUGUUUAAUGUCAAUCGCAUAGUUGGGCAGGCUUAACUUCAUAGACUAGGUUGAGCCUCACUUAUAAGUUGGGCUAAGCCUUACCGCUAAACUAGGCCAUGCUUGGCUCGUGAGUUGAUUAUAUAUAGACACAUGAGUUGAGGUCGUAUCUGACCAUAUGGACUGGGUCAUAUUUAACCGCAUGAGCUGACCCAUGCUUAGCCACAUGGUUGGGUCGUAUCUUGCCACAUGGGCUGGGUCAUACAUGGUCAUAUGGACUAGAUCAUAUCUAGCCAUAUGGGUAGGGUCAUGCUUGGCCACAUGGGUUGGGUCGUACCUUGCCAUAUAGGCUAAGAUAUACAUGACCACAUGGAUUGGAUCGCACCUGAUCACAUGGGUUGGGUUAUGCCUGGCCACAUGGAUUGUGUUGUAUCUUGUCAUAUGGACUGACUCCUACAUGGUCACAUGGGCUGGGUCAUACCUAGUCACAUAUGCUAGGCUGUACUUGGCCAUAUAGGCUGGGUCAUGCAUAGUCACAUAUGCUAGGCUGUACUUGGCCACAUAGGCUAGGUCGUACAUAACCACAUUGGCUGAGUCGAUUUAGUUUGACAGAUCAACCUGACUCAAGUAAGAUCCCAAUUAAACUCCUCUUAUUAAAUUAGAUUUCGAUAUUUAAAAUUAUUAAAGAAUAACUUAAUAAUUAUGAUGCAUAAUGAUGUUUUAAUUUUGAAAUUUCAUGAUUAAUAAAUAAUGAUAAUUGAUUUGUGAUAUUAGAAUGAUUAUUUGAUUUAUAUUGAUCUCCUAAGNNNNNNNNNNNNNNNNNNNNNNNNNNNNNNNNNNNNNNNNNNNNNNNNNNNNNNNNNNNNNNNNNNNNNNNNNNNNNNNNNNNNNNNNNNNNNNNNNNNNNNNNNNNNNNNNNNNNNNNNNNNNNNNNNNNNNNNNNNNNNNNNNNNNNNNNNNNNNNNNNNNNNNNNNNNNNNNNNNNNNNNNNNNNNNNNNNNNNNNNNNNNNNNNNNNNNNNNNNNNNNNNNNNNNNNNNNNNNNNNNNNUUUAGGAGAUCAAUAUAAAUCAAAUAAUCAUUCUAAUAUCACAAAUCAAUUAUUAUUAUUUACUAAUCAUGAAAUUUCAAAAUUAAAACAUCAUUAUGCAUCAUAAAAUUGUAACAAUCUCAACAUCAAGAUUUCAAAACAUAAAUCAAUGCUAAUUAAAAAAAAAGGAUCCUACCUCUCCUCGGCUAUUCUUUCCUUGAUAUCAUCUUCUCGGGAAGUUCUCUCCUCACUCAUCUCAUUAUUAGGUUUAGUAAGGAAUGAGGGAGGAGUAGCCCCCUUUAUAUAGAAGAAGAUGAGAUCUUCUCGAAAGGUAAAUAAUAAUUUAAUUUUUAUUUUUAAUUUAUUUUUAUUUUGCUUUCACACAUAAAGGGAGUAAUAUAAUAUUCAUUUCUUAUAGUUCAUACACAAAAAAUAGAAUGUAAAUUAUUUACUUCCUAAAUAUCAAAUCACUCGUUAGGAAAUAAAUCAAUUAAUAAUUUAAUUGAUUAGUAGAAUUCUUAACUUAUCCACAUGAUUAAAGAAACCAAAUUUAAUUAUUUCCUUAAUUAUAGUACACAAAUAUAGAAGUUAAUAAUAAGGUAAUACAUUAUUUAUAGUAAUUAAUUUAUGUUAAGGGAGAAAUUAUCGGUGAUUACAAUUGAUCAUUAUAGAUGGACUGAAGGUGAAAUACUAAGAUGUUGAGAGCCACAACCCUUGUUAGAUUUUCUAUAUGUGGUUUAAACUUUUAAACUUUAGGUCAACAAAGCAAUCUUGGCUGCUUUAUGAUAUGUUUUGAUGCAAGAGAAAUGUUGCAAGUUCUAAUCUUAUAGUAGUAAAUAUAUUUGGUCCUUGUAUAUGAUGAUCUGACUUAUGAACUGCUAUGUUGGGUGCUCGUGUUUGUGGGUUGACAAUAUAUUAUGUCUGUAAUUUCAGUUGGUUGCUUCAUGUUUUCACAUAAGGAAUAAUAUUAGUUGAAUUUGGAAGCUUAUUGGUCUGUCCUACUACUACACUAAUAGGGGUUGCAAUGGCCAUAUUUGCACUGAAGUUCUAUCCUGACACAGUCAGCAAAACUGAUCUUUCUUUUAUUUACUGAAUGAGUGUGAAAGAGAGGAAGACAGAAAAGAAUCAAAGAGAGAGUAAAUAAGGUUAGGGAAGACAUAUUCCUUAUGGUUAGCCAUUAAGUUGGGCCUUGAAAUAGUUGGUGCUAUUGCUUAGAAGGUAGGACAUGGAACAUGAGUAAUUAGCAAUGCCGAUAUUGGGAUGAUUUUAAGAAACAUGAUCAUGGAUACAGUGACAAGAUUUAUCGCAGUAGAUGCUCAUGCAAAGCUGCAUGUGCAUAUUAUUUGUUUUAUGCCAUCAGUGUAGCAGGUGCAUAAAUUUCUCUGCGUUUUUGUCAAAUGGUGAUCUCUUGGAUUGUUUAAAUAAUCUUGGCUGAUCUCUUAGAUUGAUUAUUGGUGUUUACAUGUUCUCUCAGUCUAUUACUGUGUGUGACAUAUGCAGGUGGAAUCUGAUCAAUGAUCAUGGAACCAGUCACUUGAGCAUUGUUGAUAGUGACCGAAAUGCUGUUUCAAUGACCAGUACUGUCAACUCAUACUUUGGGUCACAGAUUUUAUCACCUAGUACGGGAAUAUUGCUUAACAAUGAGAUGGAUGAUUUUUCCAUCCCCAAUAGUUCUUCUGCUAAUAUUCCACCACCAGCUCCAGCAAACUUUAUUAGACCAUUGAAAAGACCAUUAUCUUCCAUGAGCCCUACAAUUGUUGUCAAGGUAUGCUAUUUACUUCAGGAAUAUCCUCUGUUUAUACCAUGUAUAUAUAUUCUGCAAUGAGAGCGAAAUACUGAUUUGUAAGUAAAUCUAGGCCACCUUGAUUUACUAUAUUAUGUUCAUGAAGGCUGAUUGUCUUUGUACACUAAGAGGCAUCCACUAGAAACAAAGUGCAUCAUCUUUCACAAAGAGCGUCCUUAACAAGCUUGCCUAAAAUCCACAAGAUGAUGUCCAAGAUUAUUUCUUACAGAAUAUUGUAAGUCCAUUUGAAAUGUUCCCUGAAGAGAGUGGGUAAUGAUUGAUUUAAUUUCUCCAUUUACAAGAUUUUUUUAUAUUUUGAUUGAAAUUAGCUUCUAAAUUGCUUUCUAUUAACUCUCUCAAGCACAUCAUGUAUCAUAAGAGAGUUGAUGCCUUUAUGUAGAACUUGAGUGGGGCUAAUCUACCUAUUAAAGUAGGAUGCCAUGGCAAAAAGUGUCGGGACAUUCCAAGCAUUGUAAACCACUAUUCUUCUGUUAUCUUCUUUUUCUUGCUUUACAGGAUGGGCAAUUGAAGGCUGUGGUGGGUGCGAGCGGAGGAGCCAUGAUCAUUGCUGCGACUGCUGAAAUAUUGCUGAACCAUUUCGCACAGAGGAUGGAUCCAUUAUCUUCAGUUUUAGCUCCACGAUCUUAUCACCAGGUUCUGCUACUUCCUCCUUUUCUUUCAUUUCCUAUCCUUGCAUAUUCCAAUAUUAUCCCUAAAAUGAGUUCCAGUAGAUUGAAAACGCAUGCUGCUGAAGGUUAACGUAGAGGUUCUUUACGUAUCCAAAAUGACAUGAACAAUGACUUUAGGUCCCAUAUAAUGCUCCAUUUCUUAUAUCUCACUGGAACAUGAAACUUGGCAAGUUCCAAAGUUGAGAAUGUUUGGAACUCUAGUUUUUAUUGUAUCACCAAGUCCCAGUAGCAGAAUUAUGGAGUCUUUGAGUUGUUUUCAGUAAGAAUUGUUUUAAAUAUGCUUCAACCAACUAUGGAGUUUUUGCUUUCUGUUUCUUCUGCAGCUGAUACCAAAUGUGGUUCAGUACGAGAACUGGACGACGGUAACAGGCGACCACUUUGAAGUUCCUGCUGCAACAAGAGCAGCCCUGCAGAAGAAGGGCCAUGUCCUACAAGCCCUUUCUGGAGGCACGAUUUGCCAGUUUAUCGUUGUGCGCAGCAGCCUAGAGAAGUCGGCAACAGUUGGAGGUGAGCUCACUGCUGUUAGUGACCCAAGAAAAGGUGGUUUGCCGGCUGGUUAUUAAAUGAUGAUGCAUAUGAUGAUUCCUCGAGCAAGCAAAGAAGUGCUAAUCUUCGUUACCAAUUUACAGCUCAGUAGGAGAGUUGUGAUUGCUUGAUUCUCAAUUAUAGACAUUUUCUUAGUUACCUUAUUUGAAUAAUAGAAGAUUUGCACCAUAUGCAUAAUCCCUUCAGAGCUUAAAAAAUUUUGCAGAUCUGACUGUGUAGUUAAUAAUGUCCACAGGUUUGGUAAAGGUUACCGCAAGCCAAUUCUUAUUUGAAAUUCUAAUUCACAUUAAUAUUCUUAAAAGUUAUUAUGAUGCUAAUAAUAUUAGGGAUAUUUUAGCUAUAUUAUUAUUAUUAUUAUUCACGUAUGCAUCUUCUAACUUAAAUAAACUAAUGUUAGCCAUGGUUUUGACUAAUUUGAAACCUUUUGGGUCAGUGCUAACAGCAGUAUCAUAAUGAGGGAUGUAUAAUAUGCAAUGUAAACAAAACAUAUAUGUACACAUACACACACACACUGCAAACGAUAAAAGCUGAGAUUUUGUGCAAAGCGGAAGCAAUCAAGCAAUCGUAACCCUUUUUUUAUUUUUAUUUUUAUACAGUCCCUAAUGAUGUGAUACUCAAAGUUCAUAUCCUGUUGAGUAAAACAAUAUGCAGAAGCCACGAACUCUCCAUAAUAAACACUCAGCUUUAUGUCGCUAAAGUUGGAUUUGUGAACCUAAAAAUCUUUAAUUCAUCAGGCAGAUGAACCCGGAUAAAUCCACAGAUGUUCUUAAAGGAAAGAUAGAAUUUGUUACAACAUAAUUUACAACAUACGACAUCAUAUACGGCUUCACAACCAGAGGUCAUGGAGCUGUCAUAAAUAUUUACAGAUUAUCUCCAUUUCAGUUCCCUGCUUUCAAUUUGGGUGACUAUUUUAUUGAUAAAAUUACUCCAGAAUCUGGAUGAUAGCAGCUACCUUCCUACCAUCUCGUUCCCCUAGCAGCUUCUUGGUCACAGACGACAUUGCAUGUUGCAAGGUACAGGUUCUGAAGUUUCUAAGCUGGUUCACGAGGUCGGGCAGCCCACAAGGAGCUAAGGGCACGAAGGCGUUGGAAGUAAUCGCCCAAUGCAAGAAGGCCUCGUGCUGCUUGGCGGACUGUGAGAAUCUUGUACAUCUGCUGCAAGGUUUGCUGCCGAAGGUGGUCAGCCUGUAGUAACAACAUUAGCAUUAGGAAAGGAUAGUUUCGUUCCGAGGUGAACAUUCAUUCCGACUGAACAUUCUCAAACAAACUAUUCAUGAUUGCUGGUAAUAGGUAGCCCACUUUUCAACCCAAGCAUGUGUCAUUAUGAAAAAUCAAUAUUGGUCGGACCGACUGGUAUUAUCGGCUUGACCAAGGAUCGGUAUUGGCCUAUAUCUAAUUAACUAUCAUUUUCUUCCAGUGAUACCGGAUGGUGUACCAUCUGAUAUAGUCAUAUGAUAGAUAUCAGUUUGAUCAGUUGCUAAAACUUGUAUUAGACCAAGAUCUAAAACCUUGUCUUGAGUAACCUAGUGUACGUUUUGAAAAUAUUUCCAUGAAUGAAAUGUUAUUGCUUUAUCACUUUUGCCCAAUUGAGUCAUCAAAUACAGAGGAGAAAAUUUAUCCCAAAAAGAAAUGCAGAGGUGAAAUAGGAAAAGAAAGGGAAAAUGUAGACCUUGAACAAGCCAGCAUAUGCAAAUUUGGGUUCGAAAUCUAAUCUUAAAACAAGGGACUCCAGUUCAAAUCUAAUCUAAACCAGCAUAUGCAAACUUUAUAAAGGAUCUAGAAAAGGAAGAACUGAGAACGAGAAAAUAACAUUAAGUGGUUCAUUGUAAGAAGACUGGUAAUUACCUGGUUUACGAAGCUUACAAGAGCCUCCAGUUUCCCCAUUGCAUUCACCAUCUGUCCCAUGUAAUCCGAAACACCAGAGGUUCCUGAGGAAUCAGAUGUUAGAGUCUCAGCAAGAUUUUGUUGAAGCUUAUCCAUUCCUUGGGAAAGUGCAUCUUCAGCUUGCUGCGAAGAUUGUUGCAGGUUACAGACAGAAAUAACUUGUUGCUCAGUCAAAGGAUCAAGCUGUGGUGAGAGAACCUAUAACCAAGAAAGUAAAUACAUGUUAACUGCACUCCAAAUACAGGGAUCAUAUAGUCCAAUAGUCUGAAUGCUGCAACAUUUACAAAAUGGCCCUUUCAACUGAUGCUUUAAGAUGUUAUGCUGUGCUAAUAAUAUCUGAACUAAGUACCAAAAUAUUAGGACCUUUUACUCCACAAAAACCAAUAAAAUCACGAGAUUGAUGUAACUCAUUAAAUCACCUUUAAAAGUUCUGAAGGCCGAAAACCCCCAAUCCAAAGAAAAAAUCGUUCUGCAGCUGUCUUCCACAUGCCAGACAUAAGAUAGAAGACAUCAGAUUUCGCAGCAAUUGCUUUGAUAUGAAAAAGAUUGUCAUAGUGGCUCAAUGCACUCUCUACAAGCAUGCGAAGCUCUAUAUCAGAUACAUGUGCUUGCAAAGCAGCUCUAAGUUCACUAGUCUGUCGGUUUUGUUCUUCAACCCAGUGCCCAUAUUCCAUCUCAAAAGCAGUAACACCUGAAAGAUGUCAAGAAGGAAUCCUUUAGGUACUUCAGCAGGUUAAGUGGUAAAUUCAUUCUCCAAUAAAAAUUCCAGGAUGAGGAUAAUAAGGAAAAAGGCAUGUCCAAAAACCCUAAAGCACAAAGCUCCCAGCAUGUUUUAAAAAUUAUAACAGUUAAUAAUCAUAAAAGAAAGCAACUAACAUCCGUCUUCCGAGUUAAUAUUCAUGCAAGGUAGUAAUAUGGUUCAGCAACUAACUCAUACAUUCUUUAAUGAUAGUUACUGCAGUAACUGUUUUGACUCUACUUAUAUGGUUUACUUAGGCCAAGGAUAAACCACACACGUAAAGCAGAAAUGAGACCAGAACAAUGCUUUUGAACUAAAAAUGUGAAGUUAGAUUAAGAAAAGAGACAGAGGAAGAUAUUAAUGCUCCUUGACGUGCACAAGCAUGAUAUACAAUAUUAAACAUUAUGAGCAUUCUAGUCUGACAUAAUUAAAUGUUACAAACAAUGAAUACCAAAGUAAAAAAGAAUGACACUAGGGCAAACCCAGUGAGGGUUCCCACAAGUUCAGGGUCAUAGCCAUACCCUGGUAUUUUGAGUGGCUAUUUAUGUGGCUCAAUCAUUUUGAUGUUGCAUGGUCUAAAAAGGUACUGUGCCUCCAAAAGUGAGGGAACAAAUAUUUCACCUGAAUUGACACUUCCUGAUAGUCCAAGAGUUGACUCUCCUAAAUUCCCACCAAUGUAGACACCCUGCAGCUCAGCAGUAACUCAAUCAGCUUAGGAACUGACAACUUGUAUGUUUAUUAUAUAAAAUAUUCCCUAUACCUGCUGCUUAGCCUGGUCAAGCUGCUGUUCUAUCUGCGCUAGUUUUAGACGGCUCGAUUCUAAUUGUUGAACAUAAGCCUAUCAAAGAAAGCAACAGAAGAUAAGAAUAUUGUGUGCAACUUUCAUCCAUUUGCAGAAUUUCCAUGUAAAUAUACCUUCUUUCUCAGACGACUUUUUCGAGCAGCCUCUCUGUUCUGUGCAAGACGUCUUAAUACCUAUAGAGAAAGUAAUCAUAUGCACUGACAUCACUAUUAUAUAAAAAUAUAAUGUCAUUCAUGUUCACAUGGAGCGUUUACAGCAUAUAGAAUUUUCUUUAAAUUAACUACUUAAUUGUCCAUACAUAAUCUAAGUUCAUAAAUCUAUAGUCAGAGGUUUGGACCUAACAAAAAUUACUGACAAAUUUGAUUUCACAAAAUGAGGUAUGAGUUCACCACAAUCUACCUUGACAAGAAAGAACAUGCAUUUUCAUCCCUUAUUUUGAAACAUCUUAGAAGCUUGAACACAGCCAAGAAAUUUUAUCAUUGGCAUUAGGAUGGCUUACAAUGCUUCUAAUGUCAUAUCAAAACAUUCUUGCACAAGUUAGUUCAUGGCUCAAGUCUAAAUCCUAAGCAUCCUACAUUAUCUAGUAAUAACUUUAGCAAAAGUGACUUGUUGCUUUUUAGCGAGUAAGGUCCAUUGAUGAUGUGAUUUUCUUGAGCUUUUUUAUAAUAUUUUCUUGAUACAAGAAGAAAACCAAUGAUAAUCCAAACUACUGAAUCAACAAAAUAUCCUUUUCUACUUAAAGGCAAUGCAUGAAACCACAGAGCUGAUUAAUCACCAUCCAUAAUAUAUUAAAUUUUAUCAGUGACAAAGAUGGUACAAGCAGUUUGGUUACCUUAUCUGUAGGCUUGUUUGCUUCUUGGUCGUAUUUUUUUGAUGGCCCUAGCAUGGUAUGAGGACUAUCUUCUAACUGCAAAACCAUUACAAUGUAAAGAUCUAAUGUCGCCUAUUUCAGCAUUUAACCAAAAAAGAGAAAAGAGAAAUAUUUCAAAUAGCCUACCCUAUUGUCGAGUUUUAUCUCUGCCUCUACGAUUGAUGAUGCCCCUGUGUUUUGACUGCUGUCAGCUUUAAAGGAAUCUCCCCACAUGCCUAUCUGGUGGUUUGGUUCAAAUAUACCCAUCUUUCUGGGGGAUGCAAAUUGAGUCGAUGCAGAGCUCAUGUUAUUUGAACUGCACAGGAAAAAGAAUGACAUUACUUGAUCAAAAAGGUGAAUGGCAUCAGCUGCAUAAAAAUAGAAAAAUAAUGGCCAAAGCAGCAUAAACUAAACAUAUAACAUUUGAAAAUUUGCUGAUUCAGGCAAGGAAAUGAAAAAACACUGAACUUUUCAGUGUGAUUAUGAGAGAUCUAUUGUAUUUUGUAAUGAUCUCCAGACCAUUAGAAUAUCUAGAAGUUUAGGCCAAAUACAUUUAUAAUUGCUAUUAGAAGCCUUUUUGUUGACAUCAUACUUUACUCCGUCUUUCUGGCUUGUCAUCGAGCAGCAAACCACCAUAAGUGUAUUUCCUUCCAAGAUUUUAGCACCAAUAUCAUAAGAGACCUUUGCAAGUCCAGAUAUUAAGUUUAGUUGUACAAGAAAAUAAAGCUCCAGGAGACUAUAUUACCAUAUCAUAUAAAGAUCGGAUGAACCAUUAGAUUCAUUCUCAUAAUAAAUCAGUGAAAUGACCAAACUAGAGAUGCCAUUGAACCGACACUCGUCCAUGAGCAUUAGACCAGUCUGAAUACAGCCUUUGUAACACAGGUGCACAACAUAAUAAUCCCAGAUGCCAAGUGUUAUCAUCUGGUGCAGCACUGCCCUUAUCAGCUACUAGCACUAUAUUAUAUUGAGGUAAUCCUAGAAGGAUAUAACUAUACCUACACAGAGUAACACAUGCACCAAUAGACAAUCAAGUAGUCACUUCUGUCAGGACAUUCCAAGAUAGAAUACAGAGGUAAAGACCAAUCAUCAGGGAAAAGCAAAACAUUGUUGCAAAAAUGAAGAAAGUAUUAUUGGCAGAUCCACAUGUUGGCCAACCUAACAAUGGUAACCUAUUCGAUCUUGUUUAAUAUCUGCUCUAACUAACAAGACAUGUAGAAAAAAAAAUAAACUAUAACUCAGGAAAGAAUCAUCAUAAAGCAAAACAUGAAAAAAUUAUGAACUUUCCAAAGAUCAUCCUCUCAUUUAACAUUUGAACUCCAACAGCAAAAAGAAGUAAAACAGCAGCCUAUUGCACUUAACAAAUAGCAAUCCAUCUUCUACUUACUAUAUGAGUAGAUCAAAUUAACCACAAAGACCAUCCAACUGGUUUAGUAAAUUUGCUGUAUUUGUAAGAUUGUUUUCCUUAAAGAGACUUUUGUCCCAGAGUGUUAUACACUCAUUCACUUCCAAAGAAACUUCACUGCAAUUUUAUGCUCAAAUGAUGAGGCUACUCAUGUUAUCAAACAUAAAAAGGAGAAAGAAAUUAAUUGCCUGAGAUAGAUAUUUUCUUUAUCAGAGGUUGACUAGUUUGUCCAUCUCUUUCGAGUUAGACAAAAUUUUCACUACCUCCCGAAGCAAGGGGUGGUCGAUCAUUGUUCCAAAAUGUCCCUGCUCGGCAAAAAAUUACAGUAAGCAAGAUCGGUUUAUCUUCUGCCCUGCUUCUUCCCACUGAUGAGAGGAUAAUCUACCAAGUAGCCAGCAACAACAACAAUAACGACUCAUCAAUUUUCUUUCGUUCUAAAACGAAAGCGCGUAGAUUAAAGAAUUCAUCCCAUUUGCAUAAGACCAUCUUGUAGUAGCCAAAAAAAAGCUCAAUCUUGAGCCCGAGAUAAUACUUGACCUGCUUUCAGAAUAAAGACCUGCCACAGGUGAAAGCAGCCUGUCAAGAUUCGAAAUCCCAUCCGAGUCUCAUCACAAGAAGGACUCAAAUAAAGAUCCUUUGGAAGAUCCUACAACCCCUCCCUCAAAACAGUAUUCCAAUGUGCAGGAAGCUUAACAAAGUGGGAUUUCUCUUUCGGUUUCGAAGCCUUCUCCCCUGACACAAAGCCACUUAGAAACUUAAACCCUCGCUUCUUGUCUUCACUGGAUAGUCUGAGGAAGGGCCAACUGAUGGUAAAAGCAAACCGACCCCAACAAUUUCCGGAAGUAGAUAGGAGGUGCCAAGCCCAGAGUUGACAGCUUCGGUUGCCUCCCCAAUCCAAGAAACAACAAAGAGGAAGCAAAAGAAAAGCAAGUUCCUUUCGGAAUCAAGCUCCUACCAAACAUCCACCCAGAAACAUAGAAAAGAGGCUUCUUUCCAUCGAAAAGGACGAUCUUGAGAUCCGAGGGCAGCAAACAACACGCAUCAAAUCAAAUACGAAAAAGGGGGAAGGGGGCUUCAGAACCUCGAGAUCCUGCGAGAUGCUCCCGGCAGGCCUAGCGGCAUCGGGGUCGGAAUCGCCGGUUCCUCAGAGCCUCCAUCGCCGUCCCUUUCGCCUCUCUCACCUCCCCACUGCCCUCCCUCCUCGGUGGCUUGCUUGCGCGAGCAAGAGAGCGAAGUUAAAAAAACAGGAAGGAAGCGGACGGCGAAGCAAACACGCACCCAGCGGAGGUCGGUAUCCCGGAAAACGACCUCCGACUCUUUUUCUUCCUCGCCCGCCCAUUUAUUCUAUUCGUUCUAAUAAUGACACGAUAAUUAACCCCGCUCCCCGUCAACGUACGGGACGCCGUCAGUCGCCGUUCUGCGCUGACUGCAACGCCGUCAAGACUCCGCCACGCCAUGCCACGCCACGCCGGAGGGCGACCGCGCGCCACAGGCCGGACAUCGAGGCCUCCGUUAGUUAGCCUUCUCCGUCGGCGCAUGAUAGCCUUCCGUGCGCCUACUGACGUCACCACCCGUCACGUUUAUUAGGUAGGCGUGGAUCCACCCCGGUCCACUUACCCAUCCAUCCCCACUUGCCCUGCAUAUGCUCAGUAUUUCUACAUGCAUAAUAUAUAUAUAUAUAUACAUAUAUAUUUGGAUGAUGUCAUAAUAUUGUGUAACAAAAAAAAAAAAGAUACAUCAUGACCAUUUUAUUUAUUUAUUUAUUUAUUUAUUGGAAAAAAGAGAAAAUAUAUAAUAUUAGGAUCGUAGCAAAUGGGAAAAUAGAACAGUAUCUGUGAGAGAAAAAUGAAUGAAUACAACUGUUGCUAUCCUUUUGCAUCUUUCUGAUCUUUCAAAAACGAUUAUAAUAAUUGUAAAUGGCUAUUGAAAUAUGCGUGCCUACGCAAUAUGCAAAGAACUUGAAUGGCGGUGAGCGUAACGUUACCGGCGGUCAUUAUUAGUGGAGAAACAACAAUAAUAAAAUAAUAAUAUAGUAAUUGUGGGGGUAAUAAAAGGGGGAUUAGAUUAAAGGAUGCGAUGAUGUUAUGUGGGUGGUGGAACACGUCAGGUGGGACGUCACCGUCACCAACCCACCCCAACCGAGUCCAACGCGCUCCGUGGGCGGGUAACCGCACCGAGGGGGUCGCCCGUGUCGCCUCUUUCCGGUGCUGGGCCCACUGGAUUUGGGCCCCACCAGCGACCUACUCUGGCCUCGCGCCCCCGAGUCAGCUCACGAAUGACCUACAAUGACGGCGCACACAUCGAAUGAUUCGAGCGACGACUUAAGUCACGAAUAAGUCCCUUUCUUUCUUUCUUGCUUUCUUUCCCCUCUUUUAUUCUUUCCCUUGUUUACUAAGUUAUUUCCUUUCUCUUGCGAUUUCUUUGGCAAAACAUAGCCUGUUUAAAUGAUUGGAAAGGUUAAAAUGUUUGAGCAUAUUUAGUCUGCAAUGAACAAGAAUUUUCUAGAUUUUUUUUACUAAUUUUUAUGAGAAUUAGAUUCUUGUUUACCUCAUGAAUGAUUCUUGUUUCUCUCAUUAAUUUCUCUCCCUUUUCUUGAGACUUCUUUGGCAAGACAUGACUCUCAUCAUUAAAAACCUUGUUUGAGCAAAUUGAGUUUAGAAUUCCUGGUCUCAUUUCAUCAUCACCAACUAUGAUCAUGAGCAAGUUUACUGUUGCAGUCAUGUGUCGGUAUGAGAAUCAAUGAAGAGAUAAAUUUAAAUCUUAACUUUUGUGUCAUAAAAGUGUUGCAUUAUGAAAGCAUAUCACCAAAGAAAAUUUCUCAGCAUCAUAAAUCUCCAUCAUGUAGUGAUGUGAUCGAUCCAUGCAUCCUUAGGUUCCUUCACCAGUGUUGGUGAUUUCCAUAUGUCUCCUCUAACCCAAUGAGUCGCUCUAACUUUUCCAAGUUCUAGAACACCAAGAACAAGUGUGGAAUGCGUGUGGUUUUGAUCUUUGACGAAGAGAUCAAUUAUACUUGAAUUGACUUUGAGAAAAGGAUAUUUGUCGAUCUAUUGGAUCUGUCUAUAUGUUCUUAGAAUUCUUCAUGAACUGAAAAAGAUUAAUUGUUAGAAUCAAUAGAAGUGUUUUUUAUGAUCAUGGAUGAAAGGUUCCAAGCUGAAGUCACCAUUAAGGUUAUUUAAUUUGGGACAUGACAAUUCAACUCAUACCAUCGUAUGGUUGUAAUUGAGGUCUUGGAUAUGGAUCAGUUUUUGUGAUUGCAAGUCAACUCCACUGCCCAUUUAUUUCUAUAUCUAAUUUGAAUGAGUGUGAUGGAGUGCAAGACAUGUUUUGGAUCAGAUUAAGUCAUGGAUUUUCUUGUUUUAUUUCGUAAUGGCUGGCUGUCGUGCUCUCAUCAUUUAUUGACUAUCUCAAGGUUUGCAAUAUCAUCUAAUAUACAUAGUAUUUAUUUCUCGAUACAUAGGUCAAAAUAGAUGAUAGAUCUGAUAUAAGAUUUACUCUAAAAUCAUCCGUUGUAUAGAAUCAGUACAACUCGAUACAAGGCGGCUAGUUUUAAUUUUUUUUUAAUCUUUUUUUAAGGAUCUUAUCGAAACUCGAUAAAUUCAAAUUGUGAACUUGGCACGAUGUAUUCUCUCUUAUCCAAAUCUAAAGAUCAACUCUCUCUUGGAUGUGCCUUUCUUGUUUCUUGUAUACACUUAAUGUUGUCUAGGAUUAACAAAGCUUUGAAAAUUAGAGUUUACUCAAUUUUCUUCGGCUUUUACUGUUCUUGCGACGGGAAGCAUAGUGUUUAGAUAUAGAAUUAGACCCAAGUAAAUCUUAGCUAGAAACCUAAUGCAUUGUUUUUCUUCUAUCAGCAAGAAAAAGAAAACCGAUACAUCCGAAACAUGAAAGCUAGGAUUCAUGACAAAAUGCAAAGACAGAGAGCAGAAGAAAGGCAUGCACAGAUAAAGAAGAUUACCAGUUUGGCUUGUAAUCUUGGUUCAAUGUCCGAUCAUAAAUGAGGUGGAGGAGAAGAGCACUUCCAUGAAGUUGAGAGGAGAGGAGAUAAAUGGAGAUACCCACAUGCACUGAACCUUAUAAUAAGAAGCUAACCUCUUUGAGAAUUGCCAGCUGACCAGCCACUGUUCUUUAAAUUAACAAGCAUAAACUGAGAAGAGUUUGGGGGCAUUAAGGAAAGGAGAGACUUUAAUGAAGGUAUAAAGGCAGAGGCAAAGUUGGGUGCUUUGGAUCCAUAUGAUUUGUCAAGCAGCAGUCUGUGGCUCAGAUUCAGAUACAGUAAAAAUGCAUUUAUUAUGAUUCAUUAGGAUCAAUUUACAAAGCAGCUGUAUAAGUUAUAUGGCAUAAAUAGCUUAAAGUGAUGCAUCUGAUAAGGCUUCACUGUAGAUUCAUGGACCUGUUCAGAAACUUUCCAUGCAAGUGCCAUCCAUGAUCCUGUAAAAGCUACAAGGAAAGCUCCCUCUUUCCCUUCAGAACCCAAUUGUCUUCAUCAUCUUUGCCUUCUCUUGAGUGCCAUGUCAUUUGCUCUAUCUUCUCCAACUCUCUAUCAAAUUGCUUAUCAAAGAAGUAUGUUUGCUUUAUUAACAAGGUUGGUCAGCCUUUAAAAAGACUCUCAUGCAAUUAUUUUAUGCACUGUUAGUGGACUUGUUUCAACAAAAAAAAAAAAAGGCAUACUUCUCUCCCACCCACUGUUUGAUGAAACCCAACAAUCAUGGUGGUCACUUUGAUUGGAUGAUUCCCUGAUAGUGUUCUCUCCUUGGCUACAGACAAUAAUUGAGGCACCUUUUCCUAUCAUGUGUGUCCUUUUACAUGUAGAUAGGAGUGGAUUUACUUGAUGGAGGGAAGGAGCAUAGGUGGAUGGGACCAAAUAGACAUGCAAAAGAACUCCUGAAAGCAGGCAAGCCAGGGAUAAGGGUGAGUAAUGGAGAAUGAGUAAGAUUCUUACAGAAGUGGUGUUUUGACCACUGCAUUCAUGUUCUUUGUGAUGAUUCCUAGUAGAUCUACAGGGAUAAGAGAUGCCAAUAGCUCAAAAACAUAAAUCUGAGGCUUCAACUAAGUUCUAAGGUAUCAGAUCCAUGAGACAUUACGCAGUGUAAAGUCCUAUUUAUUUUGAUUCAGAUAAAAACACAAGACCAUCAAGUUAUUUUCCGAUUUGUGGCUCGAUGAUCUGAGAGAUCCAACAAGUAAGCUUAACAAAAUCUUAGUUACUCUGUCUUUAGAUGAACCAAAAGGCCAUCAGUUUGUUCUUAACUUCAUCAGAUUUUAGAUUAAUUAUGACUAAGGCUAAAUAUAUUUACUUUAUAUUUAGAUCAACCACAAAGGCCAUCAAUUUAUUUGUUCAUCAAAAUAUGGCUCAAUCGAUCUUAGUUAAAUCUCCGAACUUCAUCGGGUUUAAUUCUUUGGUAAAAUGAACAUCUUUAUCAACUAGUAAUGGACUAAUCUAUAUAGUUCUUAUUACACCUGCAAGCAAAAUCCUCCUUCAUCAACUCUGUAAACAUGGCAGAACAUGGAUGCUGAAAUUUAUAUGGUGAUCAAUGUAAACCCCAUUCCAUCAUUAGAACAUAAGAAGAGCUCUUCAAAAGCCUAAGUUGAAACCCCCAAUAUCUGAUGAUCUCAAGAUUUUUCUACUGACAUAAUCAUGCCAAGCAGUUCAAGGAAGUGCUAUUGCUCCUUGUUGAAGUCAAACAUUCUUAUAACCAUCCAAAAGCAUGAUGCAGGUUGUAUGAUAACCAAUAACUGGAAUCUGAAUAUGAAAGUGAGAGGAUAUGCUAUGAUAGCAAAUUCCUGAUACUUUUAAUGUUGCUAUUCUUAUCUUCUCAUCUUUUGCCUUGAGGAAAAGUUGCUUUCCUACUAAAUAAAUUCCUCUGCAGCAUUCAGGUUCAUGGCAUGCUCCUCCAGUGCACAACAAUCAUUGGGUGAUGGGUUGGUAUCAUCUCUCCAUUUCUGGACAAUCAGGGGUACAUUGGCUAAUGGAUUCUGUUGAGCUUUCCUCCUGCUGUCCAUCAUCUCCAUUACUGUCAGAACUUUCUGGGUGCAAUAUGAGGCAAACAUUCUCCAUACAAUGUCUUCCCUUCUAGUUUAUUAUGGUUGUAGAGUAGGGACAAUGAGAGCAGCAAUGUCUUGCACUGUCUCUGUGCCUUUUGUAGACCAUGGAAGCCACCAACCACUGUUGGAAGGAUGUAGUGGUAAAGUGCACUGCAAAGUGGCAAGACAUUCUUAAACAGUGCUCACCACAUUAGAGAAGACUUGAUAUUGUGAUGCAAAGAAUUAAAGAUACCUAAAAUCUAUUUUAGUGGUAUCAAUUGCAGUCCUUUAAAAGUACAGCAAAACCUUUCAGACAUUGAGCUAAAGCACUGUGCUGUUAAGCCAUCUCCAUGGACAACUCAAGUCAUUAGUGUACUAAGUGAAUAUUUCAGAUGAAUGAAAUGUACAAUGAUUUAGCUAACAUAAGAGUUCCAGUACAACUUGGUAGAUGAUAAAAUGGAUAUCUUCUCUAUGGCAUAUCAACCAAAAUCUAAAGGUUUCUUGGAAUUCCUUGGCCUCAAUCACAUCUUAUCCUGGUUGAGUUAGCAAUGCAGCUGGGAAAGUACUGACCUUUUCUGCUAGAACAGGAAUACAGGUCACAAGGAAGAUUCAAAGGUUGCAUCAUUAUUUAGACUGAUCUUUUUCUGGUCUGACUCCUCACUCUCAAGUGCUCCCCAAGUCCACAACCCUCAAGCAUGAAGUCUCCAACUUGCAAUUUGGACAGAAUCAUGGGAAACUUACAUGUCAGUCAUCAUCAUCAUCAUCUUCUUCUUGACAAAGUGCAGAAAUUUCUACAACUUGAUAUAAUUGGAUGCAAAAAAUAAAAUCUUUAGAUGGCUAUUGCCCUCUCCAAAAAGCUCUGUUAAACAUCUCAGACAUUAUGUGAGACUAAAUAUGUUGCCCAUUGGCCCAAAACCUACUAGCUUAAACUUUUAAUUUAGAGUCAUGUCCAACUAUCAUAUUCAUGGUCAGACACAUUGUGUUAACCAAUAACCUAUACAUUAUGAUACAUUUAUUAAAGAUGUAGCAGUCCAUCCUUUGCUCUAUUGAUUAUAUGCAUAACAAAGAGCCGGUGACUCGAGCGACUUGCAAUUUCUUUAAAUAUUUACCUAAUUCCAGUCUAGAGGAAUUACUUGAUGUUUAGAAAGAUAUAGAGGAGCCUCUUAAGUUUCAAGAAAAAUAGAAGAGAUAAAAUCGCUUGUGUAUCAUAUCGUUGCGAUAACUAGUGUAUACAUGAUCAUACCAUCUAUAUGAAAUACUGAUCAUUCAUCAACAAUUUCAAGUACAAGACCUGAUCACUUAGAUAAUUCUUAUUAAUAAAUGAAUUAUCAGAGUUCAAAUCUGAUGAUAGGCCUGUUUUGCAAUGAGUAAAUGGAGAAAAUUCAACUUGUCCUGGAAGCUGGAAUCCAUGGUUCAAAGUUCCUUGAAUGCUGAUGGACAUAUCUACCAUUAUGUUUUGUCUUCUGAGAUUGUUUCGAUAUGUACAAAGUAGAUGCAUGUCUAUAGGGACUCCAAUCAAGUAGCUAAAUGAAUAGCUUCAGAUUUUAAAUGUAGUCAGAGCUUCAUCAUCCACAUUUUUAUGCAUCUGAAGCUAAAGAAGAGCCAAGAUCUUCACCAGAGAAAACCUGAGGGAGCAUAUGCAGAGACAGUCAACAUGUAACUGUGGCAAUGAAGCCAGGAUAUAUCCCAAAAGGCUGCCAUGUCUACUUCUUGACGAUGAUAACAAUUGCAACUCUUAAUAUUCUAAGUCUCAUAUUCUGUGAUCUUUCAAGUUUUUUUCUGGCUUUUGCUAAUCAACUUUACCACUUGUCUACAUGAUCAUUUAUCAAGACAAUUAGUGAUUUGCAGUUAUGACCAGUAAGAGUGCCUACUGGUUGAUGCCAAUGAUCUUUCUUGAUUAUGAGGUGAAGAUUGAGGAAGUACAUGAUCUUUCAACAUCAAAGUUCAGUGAGUGAAUUCACUUGCAAGCUCUGUGGUAAUGAGAUUAUUUUUUUGCUGAUAUUAGUAAAAUAGAGAAUAUAUUUGAAGGUUUUUUUUUAUUCCUUGAUUUAAAGAGACUCUAAGCUGAUAUAUGAAAAUAUUUUAUUAAACUAAAUAAAAAAUACUUUUAUAUUUUUUUGUAACUGUAGUUCACUAACGAUGUUGUUAGGGGAUAUGAUGGAUGUUGUAGAUGAGGAAAGUGAUGACUGUCUCUUAGUAGUACUAACGUCCAUCGUCAUUAAUUGAGAUGUUAAAAUUAUUUUAUAUUUUUAUAUAUAAAAUCAUAAUGUUAAAAUAGAUGUAAAUAUUUUAUUUUUUUAAUUAUAAAAAUAUUAAUAUAAUUUUUUAAAAUAUAAAUAUUAAAAUAUUAAAAAAAUUAAUUAUAAAAAGAAUAGUCUAUAAUUAAACCUCCCACAGGAUUUAAUGCGGAGGUGUUGAAGGCUAAUUAAGAGGCCAAAACCAGGGUUUACCCGAUAACUAAGGGAUUUAAUGUAAUGACCGAUUAAGUCCUCCGCGCUACUAUUUCUGCAUGGGCGGCUCCCCGCGUCUCCCACCGCCGCCUCUUGCUCCUCCUCCCCGGCUCCGGCGGUCGGUAGUGUCGCUGCCCUGCGGUUCUCUUGGCCAUGAGUCGUGCCUCUUCCAGCUCGUUUUAGUUCGGACUCGUCCUUCUCCUACCCCGAUCUGUCUCCUGGGUACUCUCCUCUGAAGUAAAAAUCGGAUUUUUCGCGGGGUUUUGCCCUCUUUUCCCGCUGCUCGAUCUCUUAAACAAAACGUUAUGGGGUUUUCACUGGCUUUCAUGGUUUCGAGGGGUUUUGGCUGCGAUUCCUCGUAAAAUGUUAGUCCAUUUCGGCUUUUUAGGAAAGAUAUAGUCUUUCUGCCAAAAAAUGUCAAAAGAUCUUUCUGUUCUAUCCAAAAACUCUACCCUAAUGCGAUUGCUUUCUGGACAUGGAAAAGAGAUAUUUUCGAUUCAUUUAUUGAUUUUGCUGUAAUAAAUUCUGAAGUUUAUGGGAAGAAAGCGUCAAAAGAUCCCUUUUAAUGGAUUAAAGUUUAUGCUCCAAGUGAUUCAUUAAGUGGGUUAACAUUUGUUUUGUACAUUUAUCACUGAUUUAAACAGACUUAAUGCUAAUAUGCAAUCCUCGGUGUAAGAAGUAAGAUGGUCGAAAUAUACGUCGAGGCCAAUAAUAAUUAGAUGCAAAUGAUCCAACCACAUCAUUAGAUUGGAUGAGUUGCUGCAGUGUUUGACAAGGAUUUAGCUGCAAUCCGAUUAAUAAUUCUUUUAUCAGCUAUUUACAUAGUUAUGGUUUAUUUUACUUAAGUUAGCCUGUGUGUCUAAUGUGGAAGCCAUCUCUCACAUACAUAGAAUGGAGGACAUAUGCACAAGUAGAAGGGUAAACUAGGAUAUCUCCGUUUAGUUUCUUUUGUUUCUCAUGUUGAAUGUGCAUUGAUCAGGAUACAAGUUUCGACAUGGCCGAAAUGCUGGUGAUCAGAGAGAAAAAUGAAGUGAAGAAUGGAAAUAAUGAGCCUGUUGAUGCUGAUGAUGACGAAGAUGGUGAUGUUGGGGAGGGUGAAGAUGAGUUGUCUGAUGACAAUGGGGAGGAAUAUGAGAACCCCGAUACCGAUAAUGGCAAGAAAAAUCCAGGUGGAGACGAUCAGAAGGGAGAGGGAGAGGAGGAGGACGUUGAGGGUGAAGAUCAUGAGGAGGAGGACGACGAAGAUGGUGUAGAGGAGGAUCGGGAGGACAAGGAUAAAAGAGGAAGACGAGAAAAAGAAGAAGAGAGACAUGGUUUUAGUUGUAGUUUGUUUUGUUCUUUCAAGAUCAGAGCAGACUUCAAGCACAGCCAUUAGGAAAUAAAACAAGAAAACUCAUGCGUGCAGCUCUAUUUUAGUAUCAGAAUUAGAGACAAAUGCAGCUCAAUUAUUCCUCAUCUAACAUAGCUUGAAUACUUUUUCUUUCUGCUCAUCUUUGCUGCUCUAAUUUAGUAUCAGAAUUUUCAAAACAUAGACUCAAAUGCAGCUCAAUUAUUCCUCAUUCAACAUAGCUUGGAUAAGUUCUUUGUGGAAAAAUGUAGAAUAUAUCUUGAAAAUGAGACAGAAGCUGGUUUUGUGGGGUAGAAUUAAGUCAUGCAGGUGCUUCUACUGCUGCUUCUCUCUACAGAAUCAAAUCAUAGCUUGAAGUUUUCUGAUGAUGGGUUAAGUGAAUUGGAUUGAAGAGGAGAUAAACAAGGAAUACAGAUAUCACCAAUGUCAAAUCUAAUUUACAAAUGUUUGUGUGAAUUUUUAGUACAUAUUUCCACACUUUUUAAAAUUUUCCUUGCUCUACAUUUCAUUUUUUUCAGUCUUGAAACUAAUUCUAACUUAGGAACAAAAACAUAGCUAUAGAUUGACACAAUCAAGUAAAUAAAUUACAUACAUAUUAUUUACCUAGAUAUUCCUUUCACUAGUAUGCUGUUUCAAGUUGAUUCUCAAAAUAUUUUUUAUGUCAAAUUAUUUGGUGAAUUAUUGGGUCCGAGUUAACCAAAUCAGCUGAACUGAAAUAUGAGACAAUCACAGUCAGUUUAAAUUUUUUUUGCUUACAAGACUUUGGCAUCGACUGUGAUACCAUUAACAAUGAUUAAGAAUGGAUUUGAUUCACAGAAUCAAUAGUUCGAAUACUAAUUGGACACAAGAAAUAAAUUGAGAACUAACUUGAAAUAGCACCCAAAGUCAAAGAGCUACCUAAGAAGUUUAGCCUUUGUGUAUUUACAUUCACAUACAUACAUACAUACAUUCAUGCAUAGCAUAUCUGUGUCUGAAGUCAGCAAUAUUAAGAAGAAGACUAGACAUUUAGGCUGUCCAUGAUAGAGGUGUAAAGCACAGAGUGUUGUGAAGUCUAUCCAUUAUAAAAUUGACCCUACUGUGCCUACCACCAACAUCUCCAUGUUAAUAGCCUUAUCUGAUUUCGGCAUCACAAAUUAGAUAGAUUUACUUUACAUAAUGGCAACAAAAUCUUCCAGUCCAAAUCCAUUUUCAAAAAAUGACAAUCAAGCAGAUUCUCUUCUGAAGAAACUGAGUCUAGUAUAAAUAGAGAUCCUACCCUUCACAACUUUCCUUUCAUGAAGAAACUUUGAAUCAGAAAGCUGAAAUUCUGUAAGAUCUCCACCCAACAACUGUCUCUAUUGGAAGUCUCACCUCCCUCUCCUCCCACUGGCACAAGAUCAGCACUUGAAAAUAACGGCAGUUAAGAGCUUAAAGAUGAUGGUAGAUCUUCAAUUCUUCUCCAACAUCAUCAUGUCUUCUCGGUCCAACAGUAAACAAUGGCAGAUAAGUUUCUACUUCGACUUGCCCUGUUUCCUCUUCUAUUGGUUGAGUUUUAUCUCAUGGUUUGAUCAGUUUCAGAUGACCGGCUGGGAAUCAGUGCAAGAUGGCAGCAGCCACUACGAUUACAUUGAUAGAUGCUACACAAAAGUAGACUGCAUGGUCCCCUGCGAAGCAUCUGGCCACUCACCAGGCACGGUGCUGCGUGUCCCUGAUUCCACGUCCAUGGCCUAGUUUGCUGCUGCCUCCCUGCAUGAUUUUAGGGAGAAUUCAAGCAGUGUUAUCUUCUAACUCAAACUUAUAUCUACAUUGCACACAGUUUGAGUUGAUGUCUCAUGUAUUAAAAGCAGGAGCAACAAGGUCUCAACUGUAACUUCAAUCUAUCAAUUAUAAGAAGGUUUUUGGUAUAAGAAAGGAAUUCAAGUCAAUGGAAAACUACUGAAAUGUGUCUGAAAAUGGAUACCAAUUUCAACUGUAACUUCAAUCCAUUGAUUUGGCUUAAGAAAUUGAAUCGAGUCAAUGGAAAACUACUAAAAUGUGUCUGAAAAUGGAGACCAAUUUCAAUUAUAACUUCAAUCCAUUGAGUUGUUUUAAGAAGGUUUUUGGCACUGGAAAUGGAAUCGAGUUAAUCGGAAACUACUGAGAUGUGUCUGAAAUCAGGAAUAAAUAUUCACAUCUGACUCUAGUUCAUGAUCAAUGACGUGAAGCCUUAAUGAAAAAUGCAUGCUCAUGAUGUAUGUGCAGGUACGGUCACAUAGCGUGUUCAGGCUGUAGUCUUGCAUUAGCAGAAGGGAUGAAGAGACAUGCAUUAGCAACAUGCUAAGCUCAUUAUUCCUCGAACUAAAUGGAGAAUGAUGUAAAGAACAAAACCAAAGAAAAUCUAGGAUGUUCCUUUGACUUCUUCCUUUACAGCCGAGAAAAUUUCUUCAACAGAACAACUCGAUAUAUGGAAUUAUCCUGGGGUACAUGAAUUUCUCUAUAUAAGGAGCAAUUGUGGCAGGGAAUAUGCUGCCUGAUUAUAGAUAAGUGAUGGUAUACAUACUUUAUUUGCGUUAAAGAAAAAUAAAGGUAAUUUUUUGCUCAUUACCUAUAUAUACCUGAAGAAGUUCAUUUUGCUUCAGACCUAUGCCAGCAAGUUACAGAUUUCCUAGACACAAGAAAAAGAAAAGGGUUACGGCAACAAGGACUUUCAUAUAUAGAUUUGGUUUUUAUGUAAAUAAAGGGAUAGGUGCUGAAUUCUGGGAAUAUAAAAUUUCUAACCUGUAAAAAGUAAAUUUAUGGUUGUGCUAAGAUAAAAGGUCGUCACAUUUGAGGUUGGACUAUCCUCUUUCCCAAUAUUUCCUUCUCCAGAUAACAUUGUUCUUUUGGGUCUCAGCCUUAGAAUCGGAUCUCAUGUAUCCUAAUUCUUCCCUGUUGAUAGCAUAUAUCAAAAUUUACAGCAUCCAGACUUGUCUUUUGCUAGGCCUGGAUCUCCUGAAUAAGAUCGUUCAUCUGUAUGGUUCCAGAGUUUAUCAUUGAAUAAGCAAAACAAUUAUCGAUAUGCUAGAUGGAUUCUACCAAAAAUCUUUGCAUGAGCAGAAGCCAUAUCUGAAGUGAUGAAAGCGAGUAGCAUCUCGCACAAUGAUUUCCCGUCCUACGAUUUUGGAUAUAAACUUUAUUGCAGAGUGACAGUCCUUGCAGACUCUUAGGUUCUUCAUAAUCCUCAAAGUUGUGUUCUCAGGAGUACUGAUCAACCCAAAAGCAAUAGCAAGCUUUUCGCUGUGAUGACUAAGUAAUUGCUCCUUCAACUCCUCAUCAAUGUCGUGCAAGACAGAUUGGGUAUCAGGAACAAAACCUGCUUUCUUAAUCUCCUUCCAGAGCUUUGCAGCCAUCUGAUAUAUUGCAUCCCUCUGUGGGUGCAAUCCAUCAUCAACUCCGAAGACAUGAACCUUGUUCUUUAUGUGUGUCCAGCUAAACCCUUGCUCUUUCUUCACUCUUUUAUCCUUCAUUAGCUUCCAAAUCUUAGCAGCAUCAUCCCAUUUCCCACAUGCAGAAUAUACAUUAGCAAGUGCAGAAUAAGCACCACUGUUAACAGGAUCGAUAGCCAGCAAUCUUUCUGCCGCAACCUUUGCCAAGUCAGCAUCUUUCUGAACUUUGCAAGCAGCCAGAAGGGACCCCCAUGCUAUGGCAUCUGGUUCUACUGGCAUCGUUUUGAUGAACUCUUGGGCAUCCUGAGUUAAACCAGCACGCGCAAACAGAUCAAUCAUGCAUGAAUAAUGGCUUUGUGCGGGUUGGAUCAUAUACUUAGUCUGCAUCUGUUGAAAAUAAUGCCUCCCUUUCUCAACUAGUCCUGCAUGUGUACAUGCUGAAAUCACACCAACAUAUGUUAUAUGGUCGGGCCUCACGCCUGUGCUAAUCAUAUUUUCAAACAAGACUAUAGCUUCUUCUCCUAGUCCAUGUUGAGCCAAAGCUAUGAUCAUUGAGGUCCAUGAGACAGUUUCUUUACUCUGACAUAUCUGAUCAAACACUGUCUUUGCUCCUGCAAUGCUUCCAGAUCUAGCAUACAUGGUAAUAAGGGCAUUGCUCACAGAAACUGACAGUCCUGUUGAUCUGAUAGCUCUGCAGUGAAUCUGCUUGCCAUGAUCCAAGGAUGCCAAGCUCGAACAAACACUCAGUAUUGCAGCCAGCGUGUAAUGGUUUGGCUUAGGACCAUUGUCAACCAUCAACCUAAAGAGAUCCAUGGCUUCACUAUUGAAACCAUUUUGAACAUACCCAACAAUCAUAGCUGUCCAAGCAACAACAUCCCGAUAAUUCAUCAAGUCAAAGAUUUCUCUAGCUGGUUGUAAGUCUCCGAGCUUAACAUAACCCUCGAGGAGUGCAGUAAAGGAUACGACACUAAGAUCAGAAGCCAUUGUUCGUUCAAGAACCCUUCGAGCAAUUGCUACCCCACCAGACUUGGAGUACAUUGAGAUCAAAGCAUUCCCAACCUGCCCAUGACAUGGCAUUUCAGUUCUGACUAUACGGGAAUGGAUCUGCUUUCCCACUCUCAACAGUCCUAGGAAAGCACAAGCAGAAAGAGCACUGGUUAACGUGAAAUUAUCAGGGACCACAGACUGUUCUUUUAGCAUACGCGAGAAGAACUCCAAUGCCUCCUGAUUCAGGUUAUUCUGAUUGUAUCCUGCAAUGAUCGCAUUCCAAGUGACAAUGUUACGAUCAGUCAUCUCGUCGAAUUGGUCCUGAGCAAGAUCCAUUCUUCCAGACUGAGAAUACAUCGAAAUCAUAGAAUUCCAACUCGAUACACUCCUCAAUCUCAUCAUAUCAAAAACAGCCUUUGCAGUCUCUACGUCCCCCGACUUUCCAUACAUGUUGAUCAGGGAAUUAGCUACGACAACAACACCACUCAGCCCAAGCUUAGCCACAAAAGAAUGCACCUUUCUACCCACGUCCAACGCCUCGAGGGCUGCACAGGAUGAGAGCACAUUAGUAAAUGUGAACUGUGACGGUGGCACUCCAAACCGAACCAUCUCCAGGAACACAACAACCGCCCGUUCAAAUUCUCCCAUCAGAUUCAAUCCCACAAUCAUCGUGGUCCAAGAAACAGAGUCCCUCUGGGGCAUUUCAACAAACACCUUAUUCGCCCUUCCAAUCAUACCACCUUUUGCAUACAUGGCCAGCAAGGUAUUCCACGAGAACGCAUUCUUGAGAUGCAUCCCGUCGAAAACAUUGUGGGCAUCGGUAAAAAAUCCAAACUUAGCGUAGAGAUUGAUGAUAUUGUUCACGAGGUAGACGCCGAGGUGGAGGCCGGCCUUGACGACAUGUGCGUGGAUGGAUCGGCCGGCGGAGACGUUCUCGGUCCGCACGCACGUCUGAAGGAGAAAAGCAUAAAAGUCUGCAGGAGGAGAUGGCCGGGAAUGGAUCGACCGAAGCCGAGUGAGAGACAUAGAAGAAGAAGAACCACAUCAAGGCAGAGUGCUUCAGUUUAUAUNNNNNNNNNNNNNNNNNNNNUAUAUAUAUAUAUAUAUAUAUAUAUAUAUAUAUAUAUAUAUAUAUAUAUAUAUAUAUAUAUAUAUAUAUAUUUAUAUUUAUAUUUAUAUUUAUAUAAAAUAAAUUUUAAGUUCAAUCAUAUUAAAUUUCUAAAAAAUGAUUUGUAUAUUAAGAUAAUUAUGAAAUUUAAGAUCGAUUUUUCCAAAAAAAACAAUGAAGAAUCCCUUAAUGGAUCUUCUUAUUAGGAACAAAAAAAAGACAUUAAUAAAAUAGAGAAUUCAAGAGGAUAAUUAAUUAGGUAUAGCUUUAUAUUUUGAAAUCAUAAAUCAAAUUGUACAACCUCAAAACCAACCAAUCUAAACAAUUUACUUAAUUUUUUUAUUUCCAUAUUUAUUAAAACAGAGUUGGCAAUUGAUUGGUUAAUCAAGAGACGAUUUUGGUACUCAUUGAACUUAAUAAUAUAUUUUUAUUGAACAAAAAAAUAUUUUAAAAUCAUAUGUUAGCUCAAACUCCAAUUGAACAGAUAAUUAAGAUUAAAAUCCAUCUUUGACUUCAAAUUUAAUUUGAUUUAUUCUCUAACCUUUACAUUUACAGAAAAGAAAUGAAAAGAUAAUACCUCUUUAUUUCACAUGCAGCCAGGAAAACCUUUCUUGGCGCAGUAGCCAGGAAGAUUCUUCCACAUGCAGAUUUGAAGAACAUGUACACAGUUUCCUUGUCAAACUUCCUUUUGACUAGUGUUGACUAUUCCAAUACAGCUUCCUUGUCAACCAAGCCACCAUCCAUCCUUCAUCUCCUAUAAAUCCUCAUUCAUUCAUUCAUUCAUGACUCCAGUACUACAAAACUAUUCCACAAAGAGAGAGAGAGAGAGAGAGAGAGAGAGAGGAAUCCAUUUGGAAUCUCUCAUUGUUUUGGUCCUGGUCAUGGCUUUUGUAGGGUAUGAUGUUGCUGAAAUAUAUGUAGAGAGGAAACUCUUCAAGGAGAAGAUGGAAAGAAGGGAGAAAGCGUUGGAGGGAGAAGACCUCAAUGGCAGAAGAGACCAACAGAAAGGAGGUAGGGAAAAGAAGAGAGGAGGAAACUUCAAAUGGAGGAUCUUUAGCCUAGUCAAGAAAAUACACCCCAAGCUCAGUGAAGAAGGAUAAUGCUUCUUCUAGUUAAUGUACAACUCUUCUGGAUUCACCAUUACUGUGCUCAUGAAGAAGAAAUCUUUGCUCUCUUGUUUGUAGAGAUUAAACUUGUGUUGCCCAUCUGGAAUUUGUAGGGAAAAUAUUUGAUUUCUCUUGUUUGUCACCUCUUUUCAUUUGUUCUUUUGUUGUCAUUGAAUUUUGUAAAACAAAAACUAAUUUUUAGUAAACUCUUUUUUGAAACUAAUGACUAAUCGAAUCGGAGAGAUUUGAAAGCCAACCCUCUGUCAUUUUGACUUACUAACUAAAGGGUUUGAGUGUUAAAAACACUAAAAUACCUUAAAUUUUGAAGAGUGUUAAAGAACUUUUUUUUUAUAUUAUAAAGAUGAAAGACAAGAAAACUAUGUUGAUGUAAUUAUUCUCUUUCAUCUCUUCUCACCAUCUUCCUAUUUCCCUCUCUCAUCUGUCUCCCUCUCUGAUCACCAUCCUUUCUUUUCAUAUUCUAUCAAUCUCAAAAUCUAGAAAAAGCAGGGAUUCAGUCACUUGUUCUUGUGGGCUGCCCAGUUCUACAAAAUUUGACACUAAAGUAGUGCAAAUUCCUCAGCAUGCUUAAAUAUUUGAAGAGAUUAAAC
rnacentral:lncRNA from 1 species